rnacentral:lncRNA from 1 species
UUCCAUUCUUUAGGUCUGGGAAGAAUCUAUAGGUGCAUAACUUCUAACAAAGGGAAAGCCUAUUACUUUGCAUAUCCAGCUCCAAUUUAUGAUCAGUAUCAAGCGAGCUCUUAUUACAAAUGUCGAUGCUCAACACGAAAUCCCUUUCUUGGAAAUCCUUUUGCUUAAAUGAGACUCUCCACUAAUAUAGCAAAACGGUAAUAUAGUUCUAAAAACGGGAAUUGCACUUACAAAAACAAACAAGUGCUUCCACUUUAUUAGCUUAUGAAUUGAACGACUUUAUUUCUACCCUAUUCUUUCUUAUCUUUUAAUUGAAUGAUCAACUGCCUAUUUGGAUGUUUGAGUAGCGCUAACUGAGUUUGACAUAAGGUACGGUACGAAAUGUUUGAUUUGACUUCUUUCUGCUUAGGAGUUAGAAGCGCUAACAGAGUUUAUAGGUGCAUUACUUAAUUCGAGAGACAAAUGAAGUUCAGAAUUCGCUAUUAAACAAGCAGACUCCGUAGUCACUUAUACUUACUUGUGAAAUUCUUUGUAGUAACCUAUUCCCGGCCUUAUGAAGAUUGAUUCCAUUCCUGCUUCAUUGUGGCGGAUAAAAGAUUGAUGAUUGUGUUGCUGGGUGCGAGUGCAGUGCAUGUUCUCCUAUGAGUAAGUGAAAGUCAAGUCCAAGUUGCUUCCACUCAAAGUUAACGGCUCUAAAAGUGCUCCUUCAUAGAUUCCCCAUGUUAUUAUAGAAGAUAGACUAAGCAAUCUGAUAGGAAGAUAGACUAAGCAAUCAAUCUGUGAUAGACAAAAAUCUGAAGCGUGAGAGAGUUUGCUUAUUGGGGCUAGAAAGAGUUAAGGUCAUUGUGCGCGUAAGAAAGGUAGGAAACAAUAGAGCUGGAGAAGGAAAGUCCACAACAUCAUAUGAAUACGCAGUCCGAGCUGUCUUUGUUGGCUUAGGGCAAGAAUAAGACAAGUUGUUGACAUGUUGGUUACUAAGAUGGAGAAGUAGUGCAAUGAAAGCUGUCAGCAAGCAUAACAAAUAACAGGGCAUGUUACCUCACUGCCUAAAGCUUGUUCCGGGCUUAUUCCUGAAAGAGAUAUUUGGCCUUGUUCCUUCCAAAGCUAAUUAAAGCACAAGCACUCUAGAGAUAAUAUCAUAUUAAAAACCCAACCCACAAAACCAAUUGCUUUUAGAAUGGAAUUGCCCCGUUCAGUUCACACCACACGCUCUCACUGAGAUUACUCUUGGCAUGGCACCUCUUUUCCAAUAAUCUUAUUCUUGAAAACUUCCUAACAGGGCAGAGGGCGUAGUAGAAUAAUUCUGCUAUGAAGCUAAGGUGAAGUAUCAAGUGCUGUAUUUCUUUCUUUUCUUUAUGUUUGGAAGAAGCGUACACGGAACAAACUAGUAAGUCAAUCUGGCAUGGCAGAGGAAAGAGUGUAUUAGCGUUGCAGUGAGGGCGGGGUUCGAAAGAAGGGUGUGUGCUUAGCCUUCACCGAGUAGUGGUCCAAGCUACAGAACAAUAAAAGCUAUGGAAAGUCAAGUAUAAGCUAUCUAUAACAAAGCAAGACAUUGUGCUUAUGUGAGUUGCAAAUAAGAUACAACUCUAAGGUAUAUUUCUUUCUCAAAAUGAACUAGAACUAACGGUACCUAAAUAACCAAUCUUCUCUUAUAAAUUGAGUUUACCAUAACUUCAACUUAGAGAAAGAGGAAAGUGCAAGUGGGUUUAAGGUCAGAAAGAGAGAGUACUUUACUUAGACUUGAAGUUCAUCAUUUCUUUCAUCCAUCUCACGCAGAAGAUCCAUCAGAUUGGCCCAAGCAAGAAGUAAGCUUACGUAAAGGGAUAGAGUUAAGCUAUAGGGUACGCUAGAAACAAGUUCGAAUGCAAGUGAGCCUACCCUAUGUCAACUUCGGAUGGCGCCUAGACUAGAUGGAAGCUGUCCGGGGGAUUGCAAAUAUAGAACCUGUAUGGUAAGAACGAGUGCUGUCCCGUAUCACACUAGGAUGAAACAAGAACAGGCAAUUGAGUGUCCAACAAACCCCUAAAUAAUAAGUUCGAAAGUCAAACACCCGAUACUUAAAAUGCAACUGGAUAGACUCGGAAUUCCACUCGAAAGUCAUAACGAAACUGCAAGGGAACCCUCAAGGGAAGCACUUCAGAAGGUAGGCGAGAAGGAAGUAUUUGUUUCCUAGGCGCAUUAGGAAGUUAUGAAAGUACACUACGGUACGGGGUCUGUUUUCUAGCUUCAUUAACUAGCUUAAUUAUAGAGAGUCUGGUCUGUCUCUUGGGGUACGAGAGUAUUGUCUAGGUUUGGUGAUUGUGUUGCACGUCUGAAAGGAGAGUUCCCGGUCUGAAAGGAUAGGUCUAGAGAUAGAGCUCGGUAAGUAAGGUGUGUUGUCGUGAGAGGGCUUGGCUGCUCUUAUGAAAUUCCAUGAAAUUCUUCUGUAGUUGAGAAUUCUGUGUUAAAUGAUUUAUUUAUUAACUAACGUAUAUGAGCAAGAGAGGGCAGGGAAAUGGUCAAUUCCUUUCUUUUAUAGAAGUAGAGAGGUCCGCGGGAAGUAUCGAAUUGUUGUCAGUAGAAGAGCCGAGUUCAGCAAGUAAUAAUCGCUGGAAUGCUGUUUCAGGGUUGAUGUUUUCAAGUAAGAGUCGCGUGCCACUGUUGCGGUUUCUUUCUUGAUUAUAGAACCUUAUAUAAGGUGGAAUGAAAGUGGGGCCAAGUCCUAUAACUUUACAUAAAGCACUAUCAAUCAGGGUUCUGUUCUUCAACGCCCAGCCAGAGCUGCCCUACCGCCAUGAAUACCCAAAAAAGGAGCAAAUUGGUGCCUUAAACAACGAGAAAUAAGCCAUCUUUUCCUGCCUGUCACCUUGAUUAUGACCUUCUUAAAAGUACUGAGUACGGGGAGUAUCUUAAAGCAACGGAACUCGCAAGGGAAAAACCAUUCGAUAACUUGAAAAGACGGUGCAAAUAUAGAGUACUUCAGAGCAACGGGCGCUAAGAGCAACAAUACAACAUGAAAAACUACAUAAAUACGUUCUAAAAGCAGUUAUAAAUCAUACCUUAGUUCGACUGCUAACGACUCCUCGGGUGCUAAGAAAAAGAAGAUAGGUUAUUUACCUUAGUUGAAGAGCUGGACUUGUAGAAUCAAUUCCUGCCGCCACGAAAACAACACUAGUUUACCCAUACGUUUCUUCUACUACUCUGGUAUAUGGUUGAUUCUCCUACUACAGACAGUAUCCAUCCUCUUGGGGUGGGGCGCCAGUUCAAGUUCCUUUACUAAUACUUAUAAGAAAGCGGUCUUCUACUUUUGUUUCAAGUGUUUGUAUAGCGGCCCUUUAGCGCCAUGGCUUGGUGGGCCCUUAUAGUACUUUCUUUCCCCUUGUAAUAGAGUUCGGGUCGGGUUUAAGUGUUUCUGUGCAAAGAAAGGAUACUUCACUAUCACUUCUGGGGUCGUCAAAUCAUUCUUAUAGUAAGUAUCUGCUUGUCUUCUCUCUUUCGAUAAUCAAUUACAGGUGUUCGAUAGACUCAAUGAAAAGAAUUGUCUGUAUCAGGAUCAUCGGCAGUCUCAAGUCAGUCUGAUUCAAAAGAAAGGGACGCAGCGGUAAGUCAACUAUAAGAAACUACCUUACCGAAGCAAUAGUACGAGUAACACAAGAGCAGGGCCAUUAAGUGACAUGUGCAUUCCUACUUUCCUUUGCCUAACUAUAAUUGAAGCUUCUUCUCUUGAGUUGGAUACAUUCCUCGAACUUAUGAUCCUAGAGUUUACCUUUCCUCGCACAGCUCAUUCUUCCCUUGCAUUAUGACCCCGCUCAUUCUUCCCGGCCAGUACUAUGAAUAAAAUAACCAGGCAAGCAGAGAAGUUGACUUAUCCCUGUAUUAUAGGCUUGAAAUUCAAUUGAAAGCGGGUUGGAUCUCUGGAUAACUGAUUCUUAAGCCCCUCCUGGCAACUGGAACUAUCCUCUUAUCUAGCUCCUGAGUUUGACUACGACGUUCAAUUAUAGUUUGACUACGACGUUCCAUUCUUACAUAAAAUACCAGAGGAGAGUUAACGAGCGGGUUCAAUUCAAUUACUUACUUUUUGGAUUCUUAACAGGUUUGGCGGACUACUCUACUGGUUGGGCAAGGUCAGAAACAUCUUACUUAGAAUUGACUUAUACUUACUAAUGCUAUUGCUACUGUUGCUAAGAAGUCAAAUACGCACUUUCUUGCCUAGUAGCUUAGGAGUCAAAGCAGGAAGAUGAAACAUCCGAAUCUCCCCAUCUUUGAAAUCCAAAUAAGGAAUAGAGGAGCUCGGCCCUUAAGUAAAUUGCAGUAGAAUCAUCAGCUAAGAAACUCUCACUGGCUAUUCAGCUGCCCGGGGUUAAUAAAGAAGUGUUGUGGUAUACUUCCGCAUCUGGUAUAAGGCAAGUCAUAAUGGAAAUAGAGUCCGAGUGGAGGAGGUGGCACCAAUGCUAAAGGAGCAAUAACAGUAUUUGUUGACUUAGGUAGAGGAACAAUAGUACAAAAGAUGAAAUCGGUAUUGUUGCCCGAGAAGAAUGGGGAUUUGGAAGCAGGAAGCUAUUCUGAACAGGAGAUGAAGGUCACUUCCCUAGUGUUGCUGGAACAAUAGCAUUAGGGAGUGAACCCCGUUAGCUGAGGAAUUCUAGUGCCCGUGCCCCGCCUAGGUAUUCUAGAAGGCUAUAAGAUUCUAUUCUAGAAGGCUAUCAGAUUAAUAAGAUCAUAUAUCAUUUAGUAUGUUUUCCUCAAUUACUGGUUGCGAGCGGGAAGGCCGUAUCAGUAAUUGGUUGCUUGGUCACUUAGAUGAAAAACAAGAGCCGUUGAAAACAUUCCAUUCCCUUACUAAAUGCAGGGUUUUCUCCACGAAAUAUAUUCUAUCUUUAUAAUGCAUUAUUCCGAUUCUUGUAUUCUCGUGUCGCUAAAGGGCCGCUCUUUCGCUCCUCCGUUUUAUAGGCAUAAAUUCUUUAAACAACUAUUGACGCAUCCCUUUCCACUCUUCUCUUUACCCUAAGAGCACUUUGCUUCGGAUUGCCCUCCUUCCCCCGCGCACCAGUACUUUAUUAAUAAAAGGAUCCAUCUUUACAGCACUACCACUUUAAGAAGGUAAGGGUAUUUCAACCAACUCUUCAUUACUACAGGCUAAACUCAGUACUUAAGGAUAAGAAUUCCAUUAGUGUCGAUGAAACUCUCUCUCCUUCCUACCUCAACUGUGGACUCUUCUCUAUAUUUAUGAAUACUCUUUCUUUUGAUCUUGCUUCGGCUUCUAGAUACGAUUAGAUUACACCAUUGACUUAAGGGCUAGGCGAACAUCACUCGUAUGAAACACAGAUGCACUUAAUGGUCACUGUAAACUGGAGCUGGCACUGCGGAUUCUUGAGAUUGAGUUGCUGCUGUUGAUGAUCCUUAUGCGGUAAGUCUUAGUAUAUGCUUGGUCCCUACUAUAUUAUAUAUUAUCUUAUAUUAGGAUUACAUUUCGGAUGAAACUCUGGAAACCCUUUCACUCUAUAUAUAAAGAUAUAUUAUUGACAUUCCAAUUCUUUAACAAGCCCCAAGCAAGGACUGUGUGAGAAGCUAGGGGGAUAGUGGAAGCUCCGUAUUAGCAACAGGGGUGAGGUUCAGAAACGUGUAUACAAAGAAAAUAAGUAAACUCACUCCUAAUGAUAAAGUGAACUAUUGGAUUGUCCCGCCUCCUCGUCGCCAGUACCUGAUCCUAAUUCUUAUCAAACAUCCUAUCGAGUCGAAAAGACAGAUUACUUGAUCACUGCCUCAGAUCCAUCUUACUAACCUUUCUACUUCCUCCUCUCUUACUCGCUUACUCCUCUUGUAGAAAAAACUGUCCACUCGAGACCCUUGACUUGCUCAUAACGAACGGGCCAAGCAGACAAGCAACAACCAGUGAAGUUGACCCCGGAGUGGACUAGUAUAGUCUCCUUUUUCACUCACUCCUAAAGUUGCUCACCUAGUAUAGUCUCCUUUUUCACUCACUCCUAAAGUUGCGACUCUCUUCUUGCCCAAACAGCCCUUUCAGACCACAAAUUGUAAUAACUUCUUUUUUUGUUCGAGAGCAGAGCCAGAGCCAGGCCAGAGAGAUAAUGUCAAAUACAGCCCUUCCCUUAAGCGCUCCAUGUAGUGGGCAUUCGAUUCGAGAUGAUCUUCGUGGACAUUUGCUAUGGAACCGUAGUGUUCAGAGGAGCUAGGUGGGAAAGGAAAGAACUGGGAUUUGAACAUGCAGUAAAUGCUAGCCAUUAUGACCCAUCCUAUAUUGGGCCAGGCCAGGAAGCUGAUCCUGAAACUGCCAACAUUCCAUCCGAUAUAGUAGAUGAGAUCCAUACAUCCUGAUUUCCCUAAUUGAAACAUUAUGAAACUGCCAACAUUCUAUCCGAUAUAGUAGAGCCAUAACCCUUCUUUCCCUUAUUGAAACAUUCUAUCCGAUAUAGCAGAUAAGAGCCAUCUACCUAUCUUGUAUUUCCCUUACUUAUUGGUGGGGUUGGUCGGACUUCCUUCAUGGUAAUCAUUAAAGUAGAACAUUCCAGUAAAAGACUUCAUGGUGCGUGCCAAUCAUUCAAAGUGGUGAUCUGGGCAGAAGUAGCUAGAGGCAAACCACUCAGAUGCCCAGUCAGCUAAGCUUCUAUGGCUGUGGGGGGCCGAAUUAUUUAAGUAGUCAGUUUCGGAGCUUAGUCUUAAUUAAUUAUAUAAGAAGUCUUUUGCAUAAGUUAACAUAUUCCAUAAGAUAGAACUUCCUAUAAAACCAACGGAAACUACAUCUCUAUUCUCUCUAUUAUGCCUCUGCCCUUUAAUAAGCAGGGUUUGAUUAUGCCGAGAUAUAUUCGAUUCUUGACUUAUGCCGAGAUAUAUUCGAUUCUUGACUUAAGUAAUAGCUGUGAGAUUACUAAGUAAUAGCUGUGAGAUUACUAAAAGAUAUCCCAUGUGCUCGAGACUCGAGAGAUUCCAUUCUGCACUUCUUGUAGAGUGAAAAACCAUAUUGGUAAGAUAUACUAUUGGAUUCUAUUAGAAGUAGUGUCAAUCAUUGAAAAUCAAAUAUGCAAAUCAAAAUGGUGGAAGGGUUUGGACUAUGCUUAUAGAAGAAGUGACUAAUAUUCCAUUUGGAAGCUUCAUUCCUAUAUUUCCAGAUCAGCCAUAAAGAGUGGGCACUGCUAGCUCGAAGGGAUUAGAUUUAUGUUUAGUCAAGUCACGCGUACCCAUUUAGUAUGAAUAAUAGAAACACAUAUUGAGGAUGAAUAAUGGAAACACAUAUGAAAUGAGUAAAAACACUCCGGACUCCUAUGACUAUAAAGAAUAGAAAGAAGAUAGCGUCACACAUAUAGAAAGAAGUAAACAAUCUCCUUACUAUCCUUAAGGAACCUUUCAUACAAUGAACAGAUGGGUACUGCCGAAGAUUGACUUUUCCAAAUCCAGAAGAUUGUAUAGACCCAAUGGGACCGAAUCUGACCUAAACCCCAGCGCCCUAAGAGAAGGAACUCACGUAAGCACCCGCUUAUAUACAAUACUAGCAUAUUACCCCUGACCCCGGAGAUACAAGACGGAACUCUAUUCCCUUGAAUCACCCCUAUCUUAAAUCACCCCUAUAAUAAUUGAUUGAUGUCGGCACCCCCAACUUGUAAAGAAGGGAAUGAGUGACUAUGACUUUUCAUGUACGAUACUCAACUCCCUUCCUUCUUUAAUAACAUGACUUUUCAUAUACUAAACUCAACUCCCUUCCUUCUUUAAUAACAUGACUUUCGAAUAUAUAUAUCUAUAUGAUACGCGACUAACGGAUAUCUCCUUUCAGAUUCUCACUUUCAGAGUCAAUAGAUUCUCCCACAUGCGUCUAAUCGGUUUCAGUUCCGCUAUUGCUUUCUUUUCGGUUUCAGUUCUGUUAUUGCUUUCCUUGUGGCUUCCUCUCUCUCUCUUUCCUGAUGGUGAAUAACCGCUCUUUGAUUUUAUGUCGGAAGUUACAUCUAAGGGUAAAUAAGAGAUGGCAUCGAAAAGGAGGGCCUAAGAAAGAGUGUCUCGAUAAGGUGCGGAUGCCUGAUUGACCAUACUCUCCUUCGACACAGGAAGGGAAGCAUCGAAUUGCCUUAGUGGGAUAGCUUAGUUCAAUAGUGAGUUCUUAGUGGGAUGGGAUAAGCUUAGUUCAUUAGUUCUUUUCUAGUAGGAAGGAAUAAGGCGAAAACUUAGAGUUUGUUACAGCCCAGCCCUAAACUGAGUUUCAGAACGAAAGAAUCGCACAAUGGUGGAGAUGACCAGAAGCUUCUUAAAGAGAAGGGGCAAAGAAGGUUGCCUUGGAAGUGAUUCAGUUAGAGAGCCGGUUACCGAAAAGCACCUUUAGCUGGGGUCUAUCGAAGACGAAGAGGGGAUUCUUUCUCUCUUCCCCACAUCCACAAGACGAUGAAAAACAAAUAUAUGCCAUUCGAUUCUUUCCUAUUUAAUAAGAGAUGGGAAAGGCAAGGAGCGUCCAUAAGAUAAAGUAUAGAGCUGGAGUGGUUGGGAAGUAGUCUAUAAGAUUGAUUAUAGAUCUCAGGGGUCGGGAAUGAAUUACAGAGGACUGGGUUCAGGUCAAGAAUCCGGUAUACUUUUCUAUGUUGGUGCCGAUAUAAGUUCUUCAAGCUUCAAGUCGGAUGUUAGGUUACAUAAUGUUCUCAGAUGUAUAUUAGAUUCUUUAGAGUGGAGAGUUCUUUUACUUCAUUAUAGAAUCCGUGUGAAACAAAGCAACUCGAGGUGCACUUCCUUUUUCUAUUAACUUAUCCCUCCCAGGCUUUCUGAGACCUGUGCGAGAAAUGCCUUUAGCACGAAUUCGUCAGAUACGAAGCUCAGGGGUGGGAAUCAAUUUCUUAUAAUGACUUUUUGGUUGCUUUUCUAUUCUCUUCUCAUUCUCUAUCUAAUGAUAAAGAGAAAUAUCAAGUGCUCUUUUGUGUCUCAGUGAAGGCCAGGCCCCCAAUCCCUUCUUUAAAUGGAUCUUAUCCUGUGCUUAGGAUCACUCUGCGCCUAUGAACCCGAAAAAGGAGGUCGUUUUGAACUUCUUCUUUCUUCUAAUGAGGGAGAGGUCUCACUUCUUCUUUCUUCUAAUUAGGUCAUUCAUGUCAUGGCUCGCUCAGUUUGCUCGCGGGCGCCCAUUCCAGCCCGAGUUUGUGAAAGGAAGGCUAGAGAGGUGGGUCUCUCCUGAUUGAGUUCGCCAUCGUCCACAUCACUAGAUUCUAUCCCUUGCCCUAACUCUCCAUUUGGUGAGAAGGAAGUCAGCUUCAUCUUUCCACCCCUGCUGUCCAUCUCCGUUUCAAUUCUGCCCUCAUACACCUACUCCUUUCGGACUCGGUAAAGAAGCUAUCAGGUAAUAAAUCAAUCCCGGCAAACCACUGGAAUAUGAUCUUAUCUUGGGCAAACAAACAAUAAAUCCAUUAAUGAAUUUCAGAAAGAAGAGCUUAUUGUUCCAAUUAGAUACUAGAAAGAAUGGCAGAAGGAAUUAGCUAACUAUUACAAUAAACGAUUGAAAGAUUAACCGAUAUAGGAGUAGCCUUCCUUCUCUCUAUCACUCCUUAGAUGGGGAAUUCAUUCCUGAGAGGAAAGCAAAGGAGCUAAGAGCCUCUAUAUAAUUAAGCGGAAGAUUAAGUGAGGGAAAGGAAAGGCGUCGAACAUCUAAUCUAGGACCGGUCGCCUUUCUCAAAGAGUCUUUAUAUGCUAAAGCAUACAUAUACAUUAUUGGGGAAGUAAGGAAGGAACGCAGAAGAUAAGCCCUAUAGCAUUAUUUGGGAAGUAAGGAAGGGACGCAUAAGCCCAACACAAUAGCAUUAUUUGGGAAGUAAGGAAGGGACGCGGAAACCCACCCUAUAGCAUUAUGGAGUUCUGCGGUGAACUAAUCGCAUCAGGUAUUCUUUGAGUGUCGGAAAAACACGAAAAUGGUAAGCUCAGCUCCAGAGUCUUUUCACUGAAGACAGCUAUCAAGUUCGGCUCUUUGCAGUGCACAAGGCGGAGUUGGGACUGUGGUGAAGUCAAACAGUUCGGACGUGAGCUUGGGGACCUCGGCUUAAACCCACUAUCAGGUAUAAUAAAGGGCAGAAGGAAUGGGAAUAUUUUCCACCCACCAGCACCGACUCAGAUAGAGAUAGGAUCAAAUAGUACCAUAUAAGGGUCAGAUUCUCUCUUUCUAGAUCAAAUAGUACUAUAUGUUGGUCAGAUUCUCUCUUUCUUAGAUCACAGAGUACUAUACAGUUGGUCAGAUUCUCUCUUCUAUAAGAAGUGGUGUCAAUCAUUUUCAAUCCAAUAUGGAAUAGUGUAAAAACACAGCUUUGCUUCCCAAAGAGUCGCGGGGGGUCUGGUUCCACACAAGUAUUGGUAUUGCCAUGAAGCGUGGGCACUUAUUAAUAUUUGACUACUAUUCUCUUCUUCAAGCGUAGUGAAAGUCAAUUCCUAAUCCAGAGCACGCGCCUAUAGGCCACUAGUUACUCAGUUCAAGGUUAGCGCUGGGAAUGAAUGUUAACCAAUUGUAGACAGACAUUCUUUUCUUUCGGCUUUUGGAAGAUAGUCAAUAUGGUUAGUUAUGGUGUCCGUGGUCUUGUUCAAAUGCUUGAUUUCUUUCCUUCCGGGGCAGGAGCAAGAGGUCUGGCUGGCUCUUUUCCUGUUCCACUCAAGUCAUACAAUUAUUGUUAUCGGGGGUGCAUCUGUUGGGGGCGUAAGCGCUGUAGUGAGCUCCACUCGAAAGGCUUGCUGCACCAUCUCCUCGGAUUAGAAUUGGGAGCAAUAGUCGUAGCGGUGUAACUGUGACUUUCCUCUUUCAACAAAGCGAUAAGACUACUUUACUUUACUUCCUUUCCUUGGCUAGAAGAUAGUGAGUGCAUUGAUAUAGAUAAGUUGGAAUCUGAUAGUAAGUGCAUUGAUAUAGAUAAGUUGGAAUCUAGUCAGUGUGCCAAAUACUCUGAGCCAUAGCUUACCUCUUUCUUCUUAGACCGGUUCGCACCCAAAAGGAAUUCAUAAUUUGUGUAAGACAAGAGAGGUUCGCAGACGAGUGAUAGCAGUACAUAGGAAUAAAGAGGAUGAGUAGGAGUCUGUCUUCAAGGGAAGGAAAAGACCUAUAGCCCCAAGCCCCUUAUUGACCAAAGGAGAGUCAAAAAAGCAAAAAAGAAGGUGUUUAAGGCGGGUGCUCACGAGCCUAAUAAGCUGCUAUAGUCAUAAGCUGCUAUAGAUAUAUAGUGAAGUAGCUAAAUCCAGUUCAACUAGAGUCGGUGGGAAAAGAAACCCUGUCAUUCAGUUCCAAUCGAAAGGAAACCAUACUACUCAAAGAAAGUGAAGCACGCAAGUAAGCAAGCAAAAUCUUCUUCUUAUUAUGCCGGGACCCCAAUGCGCAACAUGAUACUAAGCUUAUUCCCUUAACAACUACUGGAGUUGGAGCUGGAUCUGUUGCAUAAGAAUCAUAAGCCUACAAUUAGAUAGCAAUAAAUGAGAUAAAUAAGGGAGUUUAGUAUCUUAUAGAAUAGGGUCAAGAAUCAGGAUCCUCAUAACCCGACCUAUAAUAGUCCUUUAACACCUGUAUACCAAUAUAAUGGCUAAUCCUACACAAACAAACUCUAAGGCGCUUAGGAACAAGCAAAACAAAGGCUUUCAACAAGUGAGGGAAAAAGUAAGAUGUUAGGUUACAAAUUCAUUCUAAGGAUUGUUUCCGAGUUUAGAUAGUGAAUUAGCUAUCAGAGUCAUUUCCCCGAGGCAAGCAAAAGAAUAGAGAGUUUUUGACCCGGUCAUUCGAGUCGAUAUUAUGAAAGUGGAACAGGAACAGGCCAACUUGUAGCAUCUUCUAUUGAAACAGCGGAUUCCAGAGUAGACUUUCCAUCUUAUACCGAUGAUCUUUCCACUUAUUCUUUACCUGUUUAUGCUUUUGCCUAUGAUUCUAGAUAGGAUUCUAUUGUCGACAAGAAAGGAGGCGAGAAGUUACUGUUAAUAAGUUCCAGAGGUCUUACCGAUCAGAUCACUACAAGGGGCUGAAGAACGACAUUCUCUACGACACCUUGCUUCAAAAGCACAAAGAGACUCAACUUCACUUGAGAACCUACCCUUACUUUAAUUCCCCGAACCUGUAUCCUUAUCCUUACGCUUACUUGAUACUUAAUUAGGCGGCUACCUUGGAGUUUGAGCUGAGACUAUUCCUUGCGCCAACUCAGGAUCCAUACUAUUCUCCAGAGUGUUCUUCUUCAUACGAUAUAAGUAGAACUGGGCAAAUAGAAACAGAUGACUUUCCAAGCACAAUAACUCUACUAGACUUAACAGGCACUGCCGAUUCUUCUAAUGUUCCUCUAAUACAGAAUACGGAGAUUUUGCUUAUCGCUUCAAAGCCUGUAAGAUGGUAUGUCUGCCCUGAGUCCGCCCUUCACCCUGCUUCCAAACCAAUACUCUGCUACUGACUCAACUGAAGCAUACCUCACUUCAAAGCCUAAGUACUCUCCUUGCACCCGAGCUCAUUCACUUCCCACAUCUUAUCGAGUAGACUGCUGGAUCUUUGACUCUAACUGCUUACUUUCCGGGCUGUAGUAGCUUGUCCAUUAGUAGUUACUUGUCUAGUCGUUGCUUGGCCCUUUCCUCGCAACAAAGCCUGCACUUAAUUCUUUUCUGCCUUGAACCCGCUCCUCAGCAUGAGAACGGAGAUUGAAGUUUACCUUACUUGCGCUUGAAACACCAGUACUUUCUUCUUCAACUCAAAUGGAAAGACCAUAUUGACUUAGUGCAUAAGAUGGAAUUGAGGCACGCACUGAACAAGCAAGGGUACAAACAAGGGCUUUCGAACAAGCAAAUCUACGAACUCCGUUAGCUUCGGUGUUUGUUUACUACUUUUCUAUACUAUAUGUCAGUUCAACUUCAUUCUGAAUAUUGGACCUCUUAGUUGGAUUUUCUUUCUCUCUUAGUUUCAUUACUUACUUAUUCUUUACUUAGCGCUUCAAAGUCUUUAAUAGCUUAUAGGAAACGGAUCCUAAGAGAGCUUCUGAUCUUACUGCAACACUCGAACCUCUAUAUACUUAAGUACUUAGCGCUGAAGCACUUACUAUAAGAUCUCGGCUACUAACGGAGUUAGCUGAAAAGUGCUUAUAAGCUGUUGCUUGCUCGGCUACAAACUAUCAAUUUGCUUGCUUACUUUGUCUCUGGGUGGUCAGGUCAACUAACCUUCCUUCGCGACGUAGCAUCUGAUACUGGCCUGGCGCGCGCUGAGCUGAAUGACUAACUUCUUUUCAAGCUCCUGUAUCUUUGGCUUCUUCACCGGAUCUGGCUUCUGAUCGAGGAGUCGACUUCACUGGCACUGCUUACUUAUACGAUGAAACUCCAACGGAGAUUCUACUUGAACCCCAACUCCCUACCCUAAUAACUCGGUUAAAGCAAAGGGAAGGUAAAGAACUGAGCUCUACGAUUUAAAGCCAAUAAUAGAACUCGACUUGACAGUGCAGUCUCGUAUACUUUCUUCGCGCCGAACCUCUCUCUAGUUCAACACAAGAAGGAACUCCAUGACAAUACUGGAACCUAUAUAUACGACAAGGAGUGUAAGUGGAACUAGAAGCAAGGCAACAAUCAUUCUAUACUUGAGCCUAGGGUAUACUAAGUAUAGAAACUUCUAAAGAUAUUGCAUUCUCCUUCUUUUGAAUCUGACUGGCUUUGAAACAAGGUGUACUUAAUAUGAGUAUCCUUUAGUUCGAGAGGAAAGUAUAGUUCGCCAAUUGUUCUAGUAUAGUAUAGAACUAUCAGGUAAUCCGAAUAAGAUAUGAGAGUUGGGUGAGAGCUUGAGUUUAGAGGAGAGUCUGUUUGCUUUGGUUGGGUUUACAGCUGACUUUCUUUUCCCUUGGUCCAACUGCUUAACGUUAAGAAAGACAGACCUCUUGGCUCUAAAUAGAUGGGCGUUAGCACUUAGGCAAAGUAUGAACUUAUGAAUUGAUUGAGUGGAAACACCUAAAAGAAAAAGGAAUUGAUUGAGGCAGAUGGAUCCUAGACAAGAGUACUCCAUUAGACUCAAGUACAACAUUCUUAUUGCCCCUUGGUUGUUGCCUAAAUUGGGAUUAGUAGUGGAAUUCUGUAAUUCUACCUUGCAACUUAGUUCUAUUCCCCAGCUUCCUCUCCUUCUUACUUAAAUGCUUACCGAGCCUACCCGCCAAGUAACAACUGUAGACUAGCCUCAUUCAGUUAGCAGAGAGGAGCCGAUACUUCUCUUUCAACAAGCCCUGCUGCUGGCAACUGUUAACUUCCUGCUGUAACUAAAAUAAGUGUUACUAAAAUAUACCACAUGUAACUAAAAUAGAAAACUGCUAACCAAUUGACUUAAGGGCUUGAACUGGGGCAGUACUAGGUAGGCGCUCUCCUUACUUACCUAGCUCAUGACUUCCUUCCCGCUGCAGAAGCACAUUCCCCACGACUAGAAAGAUCUACUCAAACAUUCAUUUAUUAUUGAGCACAUGGGUCCUGAGAUAGAUGAAAAGAAAUACACUGCUUCAGAUACUUCUCUCAAUCCCGCUCCUUAUCUAGCUUAUACUUAUUAUCCUUAUUAUUUUGACUCCUUAACCAAGAACAGAAAGAGACUAGUAGCCAACAACAAUAUGCGCUUCUAAAGUGGAGUUCGACAAAAGAGGGAUGGUGUGGCCUCGCUCGCCAUAGUAAAGUUAGUCAAGUCAGAAUGGAGUUUACAAUUGAAAUGAAUGAGCUGCGCCCGGGGGCCAAGCGUAUACUAAGUCCUUAGUUGGAGGCUCGUCUCCUUUAUUACCAAGUCCUUUGUUCCUACCCAUUUCGAAUAUCUCUUACACAUAUCUCUUUGCAUAAUAUAGACUUACAGAGCGGUAAACAAAGCUUGAAUAGCCUCUUUAUACUUCAACAAGAGCAUAACUUCUAACCUUCACCUAUUGCUUUGAAAGCCAUUGCUUUUUCUUUCCCCUCUCGCGAGCUACUUAACGCAUGGUUGCUUGUUCUUACGCGGAAGACAGGAAUUCCACUUUCCUUGUUGCUGACUUAGCGCUUGCAGCUUGCUUCAGUCUUAACGGAUUCGCUGUUUUCAGAUCCCGAUUAUCCAACGACUCAUUCUAUGUUUUUCCUAUAUAGAUAAGGAACAGGAGUUUUUGAUAAGAAGCUGUGCGCCAAGGUAAGCUUCAAGUAGUUCUUUAAGUGGAGUUCUGAAGUCAGGUUCAGAUAAUUGUGUUGGUGGCAUAAAUCUAAGUUGAGUGUUCUAGGUGUAUUCCCAAUUAUAGAUGUAUAGAGCAUCAGUUCUGAAUUUGAUGUUUGACACUUUCCUGCUUGAAUUGACUUUCCCUUUGCACUCUUGCUUGCUUAUUUGGAAUUGAGUGUAAAAGUGUUUUCAUCGACCUACUUUACUUAACUAACAGAUGAAGAAGAAGCUGGAUCGGGAUAAUCAGCAGAGUUGUAUCUAGGAACAGGCUAAAGUCGUGAUGUUCUAUUCUUGGCUUUACGUCGUGGAGAGGGGAGAGUCGCGCCAUUGUUUGUUGUACUUGCUAUCUUUGCUUGCAUACUUAAGGGAAUUGUUAGGCACCCACCCACGGCCAAAGAGCUUACUUUAGACUUUUGCUUUUAUUGCUGGCAUUGCUGACGCAACUAUAACGUCACUCUUAUUUCCUUGACUUUUAUUGCUGCUUACACCACUGAUUAUCGAGUUGACUUUCGUGCUUCUGAUCCACGGAUCCUGCUUUUUGAACUCUACCACUUGCUUAAUUCAAAUAAGCUUUAUUGGCACCCCUUGACUUACUUGACUCUUGACUUACUUACUACUUCACUCUUGACUUACUUACUAUAAGUAACCAGACUGCUUACUUUACUUAACUAUCUAUAGAGGGAAUCAGACUGCUGACUUCUUGGGGAACAAGCUACUACCGGCUUUAAGGCUGUGUUAACCACUAGGUUCAUUCUGAAAGCAAGAUGAAGCGUUAAGUGAGUGAAGACUGAUUGGCUGCGGUUUGAUUCUGAUCUUAGUAGUUUGUGCACUGCUUCAUUCUUUCAUUCCCCGGUUUUCUUCUUAGGCUCCUACUAGCUCACCGAUGAGUCCCAUUCUUAUACUGCUGAGUUGCAUUCUGUGAUUUACUGGUUUGGUUCUUAGUCUGCUGAGUUUGAUUCUUCCUUUCCUACUUGAUUGUUGAAGACCUAGUUGACUCCGGUUUACUAUAUAAAGAAUAGUAGUAAUUAUGGGCCAAGUAACUACUAAUCUAUAUAAAGAGAAAGAGCCGAGUAACUACUAAUCUGUCUUCGUGCCCAGCUCCUCCAUUCUCUAUUGACUACUAUGCUUAACACAAGCACCCGAGACUUCCCUUCCAAUGAGCACCAACACAAGCACCAAACAAGUCUCUUUGAAACACAAGCACCGAACCCGUCUCUGUGAACUCUUUCUCCUCUACCUAAGUAAACUAAUUCUGAUUUCUUACCCUGACCCGACCUCUCGACUUCCUCUGUGAACUGAACUCUGUCUCCCCUUUCUUGACUUCCCACAACAAGCUUAGGGCCAAGCAACGUUGUAAGACCAAGCCACUACUCACCCUUACCAGAGUAUAAGAACACUCCCCCGUAGUAUUAGUUUAAGACCGCCCCUACUCUUUGGGACAGUCAAACCCUGAUUCUCUUUCUUCCCUUUCCAUUGAUCGGCGAGGAAAGCAGUAAUAUAAGUGGGCACCAAAAUAAGGACUUGCUCUUAAUAAGGGAAGCCCGGGCAUAAAAGAAAGGUUCACUCUAGACUCAUAAGUACUGGUUAGAAAGAAGCUAGUCUGGUAGUUCUAAUGUCUGAAUCCGGACUUGGUAAUAACCUUAGGAUAAGUUGCUCUGUCACAUUCCUCUUAUUUAUAGGUGAAAACACAGGGGCAAGCAACGUAGCUAGUGACAAAAGCCAGCAGUAGUGAGUGACUUCAGUUUCUCUUUCUUUACCAAGCCUCUAUACCGUGUGUUACUUAUCGUCUGACUUUUAGUAAGAGACCAGUUCUAGUUCUAAAGUCAACUUAUUCAUGCCCUGUUCGAGAGGGUGAGCAAGGUUUAGUUCCAGACUUAAAGGCGCUAAGCUCGAAAGAGGUUAUUCAUUUGAUUGUUUUUCUCAGAUCUUCCCAUUUUAUUCAUCCCAUUGGAUUGGAUUCUGAAGUAAACUAACAACUCCUCUGUAAACUCACUACUCCUAUGUAAACUAAGUCAGUAAACCAGAUCAGUGCAGGAACCACAAAGUAAGUAAACUAAGGAAGUAAACCACCCGACCUCUGUUAUUGAUUAGUCACAAGUGCUUCUAUACCUAUGGCUCCGAUACCUAAGUCAACUAAUGGAAUUCCCUUCUUCUUUCUUGCUCUAGGGUACGGGUGGCUUGGCUCGAUAACAAGUAUAAGCAGUGAGUUGAGUAGUUAAUGCCUUAGUAGUAGUGGGUAGUUAAUGCCUUAGUAGUAGCGGAUUGGCUAGUAGUGUCUUGGCUGAGUUUAUUAUUAUAGUUGUGUUUGAGGCCUUGGCUCUCCGAGUUACUUGUCUAGUAGUUGUUUGGCCUCUGAUAUUACUCUAUUCCUUUUCAAUACCCGAGUUAGAAGAGAUGGAGGCAAGAAAAGAAGAAUGUACUGGUAAACAUCUGGACUUACUACUUGCUUGAAUCCUUAGAGCUGUGGUUUGGUUAGUUACCGAGAAUACAUAACUUGAAGGUAAGAAAAAGAAGAAUGAGCUCUGUAUCAAAGAAAGGAAACUCCAUUAAGGUAUUCUGACUUAAGCCAAAAGUCACUACUACAAAUACUAAGAAAGGAAGGAACUAUUAUGUGGAGGAAGGAACAAGCAGAGCGUGACAAGCAACAGUAUCAGGAGAAGAUUCAGUUCGGGAAUAAGAUGGAUCUGGAGCAAUAGAUGGGUGUUAGGUUUAGUUAUAUCUAUAUUGGGGUGGGAGGCAAUACUCUUCCCAUACUGUUUCAUCCCCUGGAAUUGAACGUACUUUGUCAGGGCAAGAAGGCAGACUCAGCAGACUACUGAAGGAGCAGUGCGAUUAGAGUCUCGGGUACCUAUACAAGAGCAGAGGUCGAGUCAACCACUACAGGGGAAAGCCAAUUAGUUCCACAUAAAGAAAGGAGAACGGCCAACUAGUAGUAGUCUAGACUUACCGCAAUUUGUACAUUAAUUAAUAAGCCUAGUAACUGACUUCGGGCUUACUCCUUCACUACUGAGUUCCAUUCUUCCUUUCUAGUUUCGAGCACUAGGUUCUAGAUACGUUGGUUGUCUCUUUUUCCUAUAGGUGUUUUUCAAGUGUUCAUAUCCCAACUAAGUAGCAGCUUAAUAGCGUUAGUGAGCUCAGGCAUAGAAACAAGUGGAUACCCCGCUCCUUUCCUUCUCUUUCAACUUUAACUACAUAUUCUCUUUCGUCGCUAACAACAAUAAGAGGAACAACAGGACAUUCUUUUCUCUAAGACAAAACAAGAACACUACUUGAAGUUCAUCAUUGAAUUUCAUAUCUAUCUUAUCGAGCACAAGGUAUAGAAGAAGACUGUAAAGCUUAUCGAGCACAAGGUAUAGAAGAAGACUGUAAAGACACAACUUACCUACCCUUCUUUGGAAUCUGAUCUAUGACUUGCCCCAACACCAACAAGCGCCACUGACCUAACAGCUUUCCUUGCCGACCUCCUCUUUCAGUUCAGAAAAUCCGAUUGAUUGAAGAUUCCCUCUUGUAUACUAACAACGAGCUUCUUUCCCUUGAGACUAAACCUGCGCUGGAGAAGGGGAAGAGCCAAGCUACUCUAAAUCUGGUGUUACAAAAGAAGCAAGGGAACCCGCAUAAAGCCUAAAAGAAUGCAAUUGAAAGCGAAUUUCCGAGUUUCCAUCAUUUCCACUAAGAAACUUGCCAACGAAUGCAUUUCUGCCUAUAAUCUUUAUGGCCUAUAAACUCUCAUAUCUUCACCUCUGAUUCUCUAACUACUGUUCCACUCUGCAACUCUUGUAUGAAACCUAAUCUUCCACUCAGGCAUUCCUACAAAUAAUCAUAAGGGAUCAACUAACCACGCUAAAACAUCUUCUGAACCCCCACCUUGCUCGUCUCGAGUCACUGUCCCUCUUUCAGAGCCUCGUCUAUUAUUAGAAAGAGCAAACACACUUCCUUCUCUGGGGACUAGAAUUCCAGUAUGGAAGGUGGCAUGGGUAGAUUCGAUUCGAGGGUUGGGCUUACGGAUAGAAGCUAGGGUAUCAUGCAAGUGGUUAAGAACGGAAAGUCGAGAGAGGAGAGGUCGACAAAAGAACCAGCAAGGGAACCAGUAUCUGGCCGGAAGUAUCCUUCUGUUCUCAAGUAAUCAUGGAGAUUGGUUAGUUACCCGAUUCUAUCAUGCCUAGGUCGAGAACAAGACUGAUUCCGUUACGGAUCUAUCUUCUGCUGGAACUCAACUUUACUGAGCUACGGGCUACAAGAGCAAUCCAAUCACCUAUUUCUAGAACAAGGUAAGGAGGCUACGCACUGAACCAACUCACUACUCGGUCGGUUAAGGCUUGAAUACCAGAUUGAGAUAGUUUUAGGCGAGGUGGGCCAAGGAAAACAACCAAGCGACUAUACAAGUCACUACUACAGUGAGUUAUUCGCAAGUACAGCAUCAAAGAAAGUCACUUGAAGUAUGGAAUGCAUCACUCAAUGAGUCAGUAUAUGAAUGAUGCAUCACUCAAUGAGUCAGUAUAUGAAUGACAUUUGUAAGCUCUCUAUGUAGCUGCUUGUUAUCAACAAUUUCGUUCUCCUUUUUGGUUUUGGUGGUGGUUCGAGUUUGCGCUGGUGGGGGAAGCGGGGAUAGUCAUAUUCUAUGGGGAAGCAGGGAUAGUCAUCUUCUAUUGUUGAUUAGAUCUUUCUGAUUAUUGGUUUACUACUAUUUAUUUCCAUGAAAAUGGUAGGACGUCAUAUAGCACCACAGGCGAGAAACCUAGUUGAUCCAUAUAGCCUGCCUUUAAGGGGUUCCGUUCAAGGAGUUACUUAGUUGAGCUCGGGUUUUGAGUGAACAGUCGCUUUCCUAAUAAAUGAAAUACAUUCUCAGAAUACUAUUCGGUAGCCGAGUUGGUCUGACUCAGCAAAUGUACAAAGAAAGCGGGCAUCUCCACGAUAUACUAAGCCUGCGUGAUCUCUCAUCCCUCCGACCCACCUAUGCUUAUAUUAUUCCCUUCACUGGUUUAUCGACGAGUCUACUGGCAUCUCGAGCUGUAGUAUAUGUCACUGAAAAGAUAUGCCACUAGACCAGGUGCUCUUGAGAAAGGCAACGAACCUUAUAACGGGGGGUUUCAAUUGAUUCUUAUGAGGGGGAUGCAUCUAAAUACGCGUAUGGAACCACAAUCUCUGCCGCUAGCUUUGCACUCGUAGGAUAAGCAGGUCCCUUGGUGGAACCGAGCGAAGUGCGGAAGCUAGAGCUAAGGCAAGGUACGAAGCUACCAGCAAUUAAGCUGCUUUGGUAGUACUCGACAGAAAGGAUAGGGCUUUGCUGCUGCUGUCCAACAAGUUUCAGAGUUUGCUAAAAAAGACAAGUAAGGAGCGAGUCAGGUCUACUCCACGUAGCCAAGUCUUGUCAAAGCCAAAAAGGCUCUUGCCAAACUAAAACCAGUUCCUAAAGGACAGGAAUAGCUAAUCCGCAAGCUAGAAAGAAACAUAGAUGAGAUUACACCCCUAUCAGUGCAACGGCCGCUUUCUCCCCAACUAAAGCCUAAAAGAGGACAGGGCAUAAGCACUCUUAUACCUGGCCUUAGACUGCUACGGUUAGCUCUUGACCCAGGACUGGCUAUCUCUCAAUCAAUGUAUUCACGCAUCUCGAAAGAGUGAAAAGCGAAUUCCCUACCAGAGCGGAAAUAGCCGGGCUUCUUCAAAGGGAAUGCUCACUCUCCGGGUAAGGCAAGGCUAACGUUAGAAAAGUUGUUCUAUUCCUCAGUCUGGUUUGCGGAAUAAGUAAGCAUGAAGCUUGCCUGAGAAAAGCCGUAGAAAGAAAAGAAGGGCGGAAGCUACGAGUGAACCAGAUCGACCUGAGAGGGAGUCCCAGGAAACGGUAUACGAAAGAAGGUCUACUUUACGGGGAUGGAGUGUGCAGACUUCGGUUGAAGCGUCCAGACUCCGUUAGUGAAAAGAAUAUAGGACUAAGAUAAGAAGAUCUGUUUCUCUUAAUCAGAGCGCAUUCGUCUCGUCUAUCGGUCCUUAGUCUUAGAGAGAAAUUGGUGGUGGCCACUACGUCAAGAGAAAAUCUGCUCUUUCGAUUCUAUUUUCCUCGAUGAGUUGAAGGGACUCCGAAGCUUCGACCGUACCCUCUUUCUUUAGUAGCGAGUUUCACUUGAAAGAUAUCAUUGAUUUUCACCAAGAGAGAAAGUAGAAGCGCUAACUCACUAGACGAACAAUCGACCCUAGGGAUCGACCCGAUUCCGCCUGCGAACAUCACUUCCUAUAGUUUAAGGUAAUGUUGGGGUCUGCCGCAUCUGAUUCCCCAGAAACGAGAAACCUUCACAUCAAUGAAGGAAUGCAAGUCCUGUUUUCAGCAAUAAGUAGCUCUCAAUCAGGCGUUCAAACAGGAUUAAGGGAAGAGAAACAAGAUUAUCCGCGUUAACAGGAGUUGUUGAAUGAUUAGUUUACUCAACAGGCUAAAGGGAAAGGAAAGUAGAAAGCGUAGAAAGAAGCUCGGCUCGGGCUCGGAUCGUGUAGUAUAGAAAUGGGGUAAUUAGAGCAUCACAGUGCAGAAAUAGAUGUUUGAGUUGACCACUUCAUAUUUGUCAGGGAAAGAUUCCCGUCCGGGUUUCGGCUAAGGUGUGAGGCGCUAACUGAGUUAAUAGGUAUAGGUGUAUUCCUUCAAGGAGUUAAUAGGUAUAGGCUUUCAGCACCUUCAAUAUAUAGCUUCAGUUCAAUCUCAUUCCGCACGUAAGGAAGUUGCCAUAUUCCAUUCUUCACUGAAAAGAGGUAAGUCAACUUCAGAUUGAACUCCUCUCUUGAACUCCUAAGAUACGACUUUCUUUCUUGACCUAGUUAAGUACUACUUGCUUUCUUGCCCUAGUAGUAGCGCUAUGUGUUCGGGAGAAAGAGUUCAAAGAUACUGAGUUUUCAGCCUUAAUGAGUAGGGGAGCCCUGUCUACCAAACUUUCAUUCUCUCUUAUAUCAGAUUCAAGAUGAAACAAGGGAUUUUCAUUAGAUACAAGGGAGCAGGAAGGUAUACACGCGUGGUAUCUCUUCCCCUAAGGAGAAUCUGGAUUUUGACUAUUCUGUAUUCUGACUUUGUAGUGGAAUUCUUUCAUAUACGAUUUCAUCUCUAGAUACUGCAGACAGAUUAGUAGUGACUUUGCUCUGGUAUUCUUACUUAAGAGAACUACUUUCAACUACUAUACAAGCAACUUCAACUAGAAAGGAUUAUUCUCUCGGCUAGGCUUCGGCGGAUGACUUAACUGCUUCCCUUGCCUAGGUACUAGAAAUAGGCGCAAUAGGAAAUAGCAAGUAGGUAGUGGCUUUUCAAACGGAUAUUCCCGGGGCAGGAGCGGUUCGUUCUAGUUUGUAAGCCUACAGUAAGUGCUCUAUCGGUCCGGAUCGAUCAGCUCGCUUUCAAGACAAGAGUGAGUGGAAUUCUCUCCUUUCUAUAUUCCUGUCUAACCUAUCUUCAGUAAGACAAAUAGGGAAGACAUCACAUAACAUAGAGUCCAUCGCUUCCACCCUGGUGGUCUAACUCACCGCUAUGGUAAGCCUUAGGUAAGGAAUAACUUAUCCGGGUUGUCUACUCGUCAGGAAGUGGAACUACUAAUUAAUGGGAAGCUAUUGAGUCACCCUAGAAGCAAGAGNNNNNNNNNNNNNNNNNNNNNNNNNNNNNNNNNNNNNNNNNNNNNNNNNNNNNNNNNNNNNNNNNNNNNNNNNNNNNNNNNNNNNNNNNNNNNNNNNNNNNNNNNNNNNNNNNNNNNNNNNNNNNNNNNNNNNNNNNNNNNNNNNNNNNNNNNNNNNNNNNNNNNNNNNNNNNNNNNNNNNNNNNNNNNNNNNNNNNNNNNNNNNNNNNNNNNNNNNNNNNNNNNNNNNNNNNNNNNNNNNNNNNNNNNNNNNNNNNNNNNNNNNNNNNNNNNNNNNNNNNNNNNNNNNNNNNNNNNNNNNNNNNNNNNNNNNNNNNNNNNNNNNNNNNNNNNNNNNNNNNNNNNNNNNNNNNNNNNNNNNNNNNNNNNNNNNNNNNNNNNNNNNNNNNNNNNNNNNNNNNNNNNNNNNNNNNNNNNNNNNNNNNNNNNNNNNNNNNNNNNNNNNNNNNNNNNNNNNNNNNNNNNNNNNNNNNNNNNNNNNNNNNNNNNNNNNNNNNNNNNNNNNNNNNNNNNNNNNNNNNNNNNNNNNNNNNNNNNNNNNNNNNNNNNNNNNNNNNNNNNNNNNNNNNNNNNNNNNNNNNNNNNNNNNNNNNNNNNNNNNNNNNNNNNNNNNNNNNNNNNNNNNNNNNNNNNNNNNNNNNNNNNNNNNNNNNNNNNNNNNNNNNNNNNNNNNNNNNNNNNNNNNNNNNNNNNNNNNNNNNNNNNNNNNNNNNNNNNNNNNNNNNNNNNNNNNNNNNNNNNNNNNNNNNNNNNNNNNNNNNNNNNNNNNNNNNNNNNNNNNNNNNNNNNNNNNNNNNNNNNNNNNNNNNNNNNNNNNNNNNNNNNNNNNNNNNNNNNNNNNNNNNNNNNNNNNNNNNNNNNNNNNNNNNNNNNNNNNNNNNNNNNNNNNNNNNNNNNNNNNNNNNNNNNNNNNNNNNNNNNNNNNNNNNNNNNNNNNNNNNNNNNNNNNNNNNNNNNNNNNNNNNNNNNNNNNNNNNNNNNNNNNNNNNNNNNNNNNNNNNNNNNNNNNNNNNNNNNNNNNNNNNNNNNNNNNNNNNNNNNNNNNNNNNNNNNNNNNNNNNNNNNNNNNNNNNNNNNNNNNNNNNNNNNNNNNNNNNNNNNNNNNNNNNNNNNNNNNNNNNNNNNNNNNNNNNNNNNNNNNNNNNNNNNNNNNNNNNNNNNNNNNNNNNNNNNNNNNNNNNNNNNNNNNNNNNNNNNNNNNNNNNNNNNNNNNNNNNNNNNNNNNNNNNNNNNNNNNNNNNNNNNNNNNNNNNNNNNNNNNNNNNNNNNNNNNNNNNNNNNNNNNNNNNNNNNNNNNNNNNNNNNNNNNNNNNNNNNNNNNNNNNNNNNNNNNNNNNNNNNNNNNNNNNNNNNNNNNNNNNNNNNNNUGCGCGUCCCAAAGCUUUAAUAGAGAUGCAAGUACUGUGCCUAUGACCUAAUCCUUAUUACUUCUAUUCUUCCUCAAUAAGGAAAGAAAACUCCCUUUCUUUCUCUAUUCCCCCUCGGAUAUAACUUGAAACUAUCCUUGUCUCGUGAUCUACUCAAUCAAUGAUCUUGAAACACUGCGAAUUCUUUCCUUUAUGGCAUGCCAAAGCAAGGUAAGCGAUCUAUUCUAUCAAUUGUAUUUCCAAAGAAUGCCAAAGCAAGGUAAGCGAUCUAAUCUAUCAAUUAGCCUACGGAACCAAAGCUGCAUCCAUGCCCCCGACCUUGGAUCUUGGAAAAUGUAGGUAUACUCACUGAAGCAAGCACUAGUGAAGGAAAGACGUACAGCGAAUCUGGAACAUCGGGAUCUUGUUCACUCUGACUACGUAACCUGUACUUUGCCUAUUACCUCAUAUCCUAAGCUAAGGCAAAGAGCGGAUUCUCCGACAUUGAUCUGACUGUUGACUCUAUGCUUUUUCCUAAGACAGUGGAUUAUCCAUCUAAGACAUCCUUUUCUAGGCCACGCAUCAGACUAGGAAUUCCAAAGCUCCGAGUUAGCUGCCCGACAGAUAAUAUCAUACCGGCCACUCCCUAUUUCUCUUUCUUAUAAUAUCAUACCGGCCACUCCCUCUUUAUCUUUCUUUAAGGCAAAGUUUCAUUGACGAGCGGAUCUUGGACUUGCAAUCAUUGAGUUAAGAUUCCGAGCUGCCCCUGAAUUCAUCCAAUUCUUUCCUGGGAAGGGCUAACAUCCGCCAAUUCCAUGACUUUACUUACUUCUGAUUUGGAAUGAAUCAUCCAAUGAAUAUCCAUCCUUCAAGGCUUUCUAAGGGCUAACGGAACUUGCUUUCUACUGGGAUUCUUUCUUUUAUCAAGGUUUUCCUGAAAGCACUUACUCAAUGCUAACCUCUAUAACCAAAGAAAAGAGCGGAUCUCUGCUUACGAAUGCCAAAGCUCUCUAUCCCCGGUACCAUCCUUCUUGAUAUUUCCCAUUGGCUUUACCUUAUUUACAGGUCGACUUCAUGGCAGCAAGAAAAGGCGAUCUUAUCCUAUACUCUGGUGAUCUCUUUACUACCGAGGCAGGCAAACUCCCAUCGUGUCCCAGAUCCAAUUCUUUAUCUCUAAAAAGGGAAGCCUACUCAUCCAUUAGCUCUUCUCUACGAUCGGUGCGGUUUGUUUGACGAAGCGUCUAAGUUAACUAGCCUUGAUCAAUGUUGAUGCUGACUAAAGCUGACCUCUUCUCUUAUACACUGAUAGCAUUCUUUCCCACACUUAAUACCUCCUUUUCCUUAUUCUUUAGGUAAGGCUUAUAGAGGGCCAGGCAUAGUGGGAGCAUCCUGUCGACAAGAUAUUUGGCUUGACCAAUCCGUGCCCUCCAAGUCGAAUGACGUUUUCACCGAAAUCACUUCUUGCGCUAUAAAUGCCUUUCCCAUUUUAUGACCAGAUAUUGUUUCUUUAUAUUUCCUUUGAAAAGUGGUCUCGGGACUUUUUCUCAAUAGGAGGUUAUCAUUGAAUAUAAGACAGAGUCAUUCUGGCAAUCAAAUCUUCCUUCCGGGUGUAAGGCGUAAGCCCCAGAAAUAUGGUGCAAAAAUAGGGUGCGGAUCGAAUCACUAUGCCUAUCUUAGUAGUCUUUCUUAUUGGAGGACUCCUAUUCCUCUGAUAUUGAUAAGAAGCAUCCAGCAGCUCGUUUAGAAUUCGAUUCAAAGUCAAGUCUCACCUUCACCUUUAUGGGUUGUUGUCGAAGAAAGUUUUCAAUACUAGCUCUUUCUUGAUUUCUCCGAAAGGUAUCUUUUGAUAAAUAGAGAUAGACGCCUAAGUAAUAAGAACGGAAUACGAAACUUCCCCAUUAUCCAUACUAUAGAGCUAGGAGGAAGGCUAUGAAGGAAUUCCUUAUACGAAUUAGGAUUGUACCCAACCAAAAGAACCCUUCGGGCGGCAGAGGAAAAAGAAAGGAGAAACGAAACCCCUGUGACCGGUUGGCUGUGUGCGCCACGGAGAAGAGCCAUACCCUGAGGAAGCUUACCCAACUCAGCGCGCCAAGCUCGAAAGUCACUAAGAGACAAGUCGACAACUAGGUGAAUUCUGUUACUACUGAGUAAGCCUACAGAUUGCCCGAACUGAGUUACUACUUAGGAGUAAGCCCACUGAUGAGAGAUAGAACUUCUACUUAUGAGUAAGCCCGAACUCAUACUUAUGAGAGAUAGAACUCACUGAUACAUUAUUAUAGAAUGUCGUUGCUUGUUAGCCCUCUUGUUAAUACUGAGAUGAUUUCCCGCCUUCCCCUUUACUUGACUUUAAGUAAGCUGUGUUUUUCAUAAAUUCUAUCUAAUGGGAAGAGACAUGUAUGAUUAUUGUUCUGUUAUUUACUAGUGGAGUUAUUUUCUUUGAUUAGUUAUCGAAUAUCAGAGUGAUUUCCAUAGUAUUGGGUGCGGGUCAAAAGGAUCUUAUAGAAACUGUGCCUAAAUUCGAGCCAAGCGUAUACUAAUGCUAAAGGGCCGCUAUGAAUAAUGACAAAGUAGUGCUCUUCAUUCUGAUCAAUUCUGAAAGUAGGUGCUCUUAAUUCUCUUAAAGUAGUGCUCUUCAUUCAGAAAUUCUCCAUUCUGGAAUUAUUACUUGUGCAGGUAAAGUGUCUUUCUCUCUGUGCUAAGGUUAGCUUGUCGGGUUGGGCAAGAAGGAAAGGAACACGUAUACGGAGACUUAAUUCCAUACCUGAGUCGAGGUAGAUGAGAAAGCUGCUCCUUAGUGAAUAUAAGAAUCAAACCGGGGAUAGGAUCCUUCAAGUUGUAGUCCAGGCCCUACCUAUACAGGUCAAACAAGUAGGUGAUUCUGAAGCGGGGGAAUCGAAGUUGUAUCAGAAGCUGGAAGUAGAGAAUUGUUGACAGUUGCCAGAGAUAUAGGAGCCUUAGAAGGGACUUCAGAAUAAGGGAGCGGGUCUAAAGUCUCAGUAGUUCAAAUGAUUAUUAUAAGAUUGAAUUGACAAGUCAAAAGAUACUAGCAUAAGUUCAAGGGCCAAGCAACGGCAGGAUCUGAAGCAGUUACGUAUCAGUGCAAGCCAGGUCUGAAGCAGUUACGUAUCAGUGCAAGCCAGAGUCGAGGUAGAGUAGAAAGAGAGCAGUAGUGCUAGGGAAGGAAAUCAAUAAAGUCUAGUGAGUUUGAGUUCAAAGAGCCAGAGUAGAGCCAGAAAACCGCAUCUUCUUCCCUAAGUAAGCAAAAGGGAAGCAGUUCAGUAAGAAGGAGAGCCCAGUGCCAGUAAUAGUUCUAGGUCUAGUUUCACCUAUAAUAGCAUCCGUUUCCGUUCAAAGAUCUUAAGCUGUGCGGUAUCAAGGUGCAGCAUCUCUUUACGGUGGUUGUGUGAAAGCAUCUCAUUCCUCUGUUGAUGAAGCAGAAGCAUUCAAAUAAUGGAUUUCAUCUUUGUCUCCGGGUGGGGGUGGCUUUGGAGUUCUGUUAGCGAACGACUUUCCUUUCCAGGAAUUUCAACUCCCGUUAGCACAACGUCUUGUAUUGUUAUAGUUUAAGAACAGAUUGCAGCUUCCUUUAGCCUCGCAAAUACGGAUUCCACUCAGGAUUCCACAAUCCCUCUAUCUUCUUCACCAGAGUAUAGGCUUGCUUUAAUUGUCAAUAGCUUGUGAUUCGGAGUUGUCGACCAAGGAAUAGAGUAUGGAAGUGGAACACAGUCGAGUCUGCUCUCCAGGCUAUCUAAGACCUUUUCCGCCCAGAAGUUGGGUAAGACCUUUUCUGUAUGACCAAAGGAAUUAGGGCCUAUGUAGGAAGACCCUCCCCGCAAGAAAUCGGUACUUUCGAGAAGUUAGUCAAAGAGAAUGCCGACGCUGGAACUGUGGAGGCGACUCCUAUCCGGCGUAUUAGUGGUCGAAUUACUCUAUCUAUACAAGUCCGUUUUCAGAGACAGACUGACAAUGGCCUUCCUUUCUCUGCAUGAAAUAAAGCCUUUACAUACAAGGAAAGUUGUGUUCUAAUCUAUUGAGAACUCGGCAGCAAGGAAAUAUCUAUUGAUGACUGGGGGAGCAAGGAAAUCGAUUUACUGGGCAGCAAGGAAGGAGUUAGGUUACAAUGAACGAACUGCUUAUUAGAGAAAUAUCUCGACGGAGGCUCUUGCUUUGGUCUGUCUUUAGGGGAUUGUUCUUCACAGAGUUGGAUUCCAUUUCCUGAUAAAGAGAGAAAAGGAAAAACCUUCACGUAGCGCGGAUAUACUUGACAGAGUCGAAAGAGAAGGAAAGAUGUCAGGUUGGUUCAUUUUGUUCGGAAGAAACACUCCAGCUUGCUCAUUGGAAAUAGCCCGUAGCUUGCCCGUUGCUUGACAGCUUGCCGGUUCAGAAUGUUAUUAAUAAAGCAAUUGAACUUGCACCAAGUAUAUAAGUUGGUAAGAUUACCGAUGUUUCUAUACAAGACGGUAGACUUUAUAUAAGAGAUAUUGUUUUGAAAUAAGCAAGUUAGGAUCCGAAGUCGGUGUUAUAGAAUUAGAUACAAGAGCUUAAGCCUUAGCGCGGGUUGUUUUCAUUGAUCCGAUCUUGUUUCAUUGUUGUUAACAAAGGAAUCAUAUUUGUAUGCCCCGGUAUGGUAGGCUUAACUACUCAGUCACUAGAUCGUACCUAACCUUUAUUCUUCUUAUCCUGUAUGCACUGAAUGAUACCUCUGUUCGAAAGUCAAUAAGCAAUUUCAGAAUCGAAGAAGGAAGUCAAAGAAUGUAGGGCAAUAGCUAGAGGGUAGUCGGGGAAGCUAAGUCAGAAUAUAAGUCAGCAGUCAGGGAAUGAAAGCCAGAGUUGAGGUCCGGAAAGGCAGCCUAAUAGUAAGUAAAGAGCACGAAGCCAGUAAGGGACGCCCAAGAUACAGCAAAGUCAAGGCUAAAAGAGAGGAAUGCCAGUUUGUCUGUUAUUAUAAGAGAAUAUAUCUAAUGCAAAUGACUAUUAUAAGAGAAUAGAUAAAUGACUAUUAUAAUAUCAUAUAUAAAUGACAAAACCAACUCUAAUACAUGCGGAAGGAAUACUCAAUUGAAUCAUGAAAUAAACAAGUCAGAAUGCCGUAUAGGGUGGGCAAUAAAGUGACCUCACUGCUAAAUGAUCUUUCUUCUUAAGGUAAGCGCUUUCAACUCUCGCUUUUGUUAGCUUUGGAAGCUGAAGCCACAAACAAAUACUUCUCAUCUCUCCAGUACCGAGUCAACUCAUUCAUUUGCAUUUCAUCUUUCGUAUCGAGCACCUACACCUAGUAAAGAAAUCCGUAAAUAACACUAUCCCUUUUGUCGAACUUAACUUCACUUUCGGACCUGCUGACUUCUGCCUUUAUUCUUUCUUUCCCGCACCCCCGCCCGAACUAGGCUACGAACAAGAGCAUAGGUCGACUCAAACUCACUAACUAUGGGACUUAUUCUUAUCCUUAAUCCGCGUGAACUCUACUUGCAUAACCGACUCUACUUUCUGAUCCCGAUCAAGUAUAUGAUCUCGGCGCUACUGAUUCUCUUGACUUUCUCCACGCCAAUACCUAUGCUUGCAGCUGAAACUCUCACUGUUGAUGAACCCUCUUCUGAUCCCCUGAUCCCCUUAGCAAGCACAGCGUAUUCUCUUUCAACUUCCAAUCAAACUACUAGCUAAUUGAACUAGCACCGAUAAGACCUGAACCCAUAUACUACUAUGGAUAAGAAGAGUCCCACUCCUAACUCGACUCGGAAUGGAACUCAGAAGUAAGACCCACCCACGCAUAUAAGAAUUAGCGAUAUCGGAAUUAGGCAGUGCCCCUAACUAUUAUAUUAAUCAGAAUUGACACCACUAAUGGAAAUACCUUAACUCGGAACUCAGACUCGAACACUACCCCCAACGACUUAAACUACUCAUAGAAAGGCUGAAACAACACCUAAUAGAAUGGAACGACUUACUUGCCAACCCUCCAACCUCUGAAUCUUCAUAGUAGUUCUAAUACUCUCUAUUAAAGUAACCUAACUCCUUCUAUAUGAAAUUAAAGUAAAGUGACUUAACUCCUUUCUUUUCAUUCCAUCUACAAAUUCUAUAAAUUGAUGAAAACCACUUCUGACUGAACUCCGCUCGCCUCUUUCUUUCCCUGGAUGUUCUAUUCAAUGUAAGCUAUAUUCAUUGGCCCAUCCUCAAGUCAAUGGCCACUCCUAUCUUUCCUCCUUGUUGAGCUGAAUAUCAAGUUUCAAGGUGUUGUCAGGUAAGAUGUUAGUUAUACAGAGAAUCCAAUACAAACACUUAAUACAGAGAAUCCAACACUUAAACACGGAUUACAUUAAGUCCAACACUCACACACAUAAUAGAUAAUACUACUUUCUUUUGGAAAUGAGAAAGAAAGAGCGUAAAACAAAAUAUGUCUUUCGGAAUACAUAUGUGCUAAUGACAAAGAGCGGGGUAAGCCCUUCGGUGUGCUAAUGAUAAAGAGCGGGGUAAAUAUGACUUAGGAAUACAUAUGUGCUAAUGACAAAAGAAAAGAGCCACGUCAAUCAAUCCGCCAAAAACGGAGAGAGAGAGAGAUUCAGAAUCAGAAAUGGAUAAUAGGCUUAUAGAAACUCCUAAGGAGAGUUAUAGCCACAAUCCGUCUAUACCUUAUGCCAGUAAAGACAAUCGAACUCGCCUUCCUCCUUAUACGCUAUUCUUCUUUCACUUUGCUCUGCUCAAUCCAAUCUUAUGGAGGCAGAGACCACUGUGUUCGCUUGAAUCGAGCUAUAGAAGCUCUGUAACACUCUCUUUUUCACUAUGAAGAAAACAAACAAACACCUCUAAUCCUUUUCUUUUGUCCGAAGAAUCAGUAUUCAAUCCCCAGAGCAGUUGAGAAAGAAAGAGUAGUUGGUUUUCCCUGUAUUGAUAGCCCCGAGUCAGCAUUUAUGAGCUUAUCGGGUGGACACAACUAUUUGUUUUUUGAUAGUGAAGUCUGCUUUGUAGACCUUCUGCAAUACAGUAUAGCCUUUUCUUUGCCUUGUUCUCCGGGUCGGCUUGAAAUCCUUCUCAACGAUAGAUUCUUUUUUGUCACUGCCAUAAUACCCCUUCCUUGUUAUUGAGUUUGGUAACUUAUAUUCCCAUAAUACCCAUAUUUGUUAUUUAUUAGUAAAUCAUCAUCCCCUUAUUUAUUAAUAGCUAUCCGCCCGAUUCAAUAGAGAGCUGGUCCUUCAAUAAUCAGCACAAACUAGCCCCCAACAUUGAGCUAUCCCCACCGAAAGACAGACAGACCCAACAUUGAUGAUUGACCCAACAUUGAGCUAUCCCUACCGAAAGAAAAGGAAAGGGAUAGAAUAGGUUUUGUUACCAACUGGCCAUGAACUCGGCCAAGGGUAAAGAUGAUUCAGAAUAAAUGCAAUUGAACAGCGUUGUUUGUCCCGUUGCUUGUUUCUUUUAUUGUGCAAAUAGAAGAAGAAACCCGAUCCCGCCCAUCGUUGUCAUUGAUUACCAUUAACUGUACCUGACUAAAAGCUGUAACUACACGGGGAGAUUGCCUAUGCCUCUUUCUCGUUGGCUGUAGUUCAUCUCUGAUAGAAUAAGAGGGUAAGUGAGCGCUUUCAGUAUCAAGUUAGGGCGUUGUCAAUCAGUGUCAAAGUAUAUAGAAUCAGAGUCUAAAGUCAGCACUAAAGUCAGCGGAACUGGUCCAGUAGAAAGGUUCUGCUCCGCUCUCCCGUAAGCGCUUAAUAGAUGUGGCUUCUUCCUGCUCCGGAUCUAGUUUCUUAACGUCUUCGUUCUUAUCCUUAUUCAUAUCCUGCUCCACCUGGCUCUAAAUCCAAUAAUGGGAGCCUUAACUAUGUAGUUUGAGUUUGUUUCUUUCCUCUUCUAUUGCUUGUUGAGUUGCUUCUUGAAGAAUCAUAUAGCUUUUCAUUAUUAAGAUAAAACGAGUAACCAGACUGCUUACAUAAAACAUAUAUUACUCCUGGCACAAACUCACAAACGCUUGUUGGGCAAAAUCAUGGAAUUGAAGAUGACCCGCUUUUAUAUGAUACGAGCAUGAAAUAAGUGUGUGGCGCCCUUGAGACUUUACCUAAGCUGUUGAGAAAAGAGCUUAUAGAUAAGAAAGUAGACUUGAAGUUCCGCUUGCUACUGACUUGAGACUUAAGCGGUGGGUAUUCAUUCUUAAAGAGAUGAUCUUAUGCUUCAGAUCCAGCUCCAACUGCAACAACUAAUUCCACAAGAGGAGCCUCUUUUCAACGUUAUACGAGAUAAUACUUUACUUGCGAAUAACUCACUACCGAGCACGUAAAGCUUCUGAUCUUUCAACUCUUUCAAAAAGAGAAAGAUACUCAUCGCCUUAACCAACAGAGAAAACAGUACUUUCUUUUGGAACUGGACAUUCUCAUUCAGCUGCUGACUUUCGCAUACCUUUUUCCGACCUAGGCUUGAAGGGGAAAGGAACGAAAACAGGACAUCCUUCUUCCACAUAUGGAGUAAAAACACUGACUGCUAAGCUUCCUCUCUUUUAGCGUGUGAAAACUCCUAACUCGAAACACUCCCAUAAGUUGUUCCCUGAAACCACAAAGCUCACGUUAGCCCUUACUUAUUGAGUUUACUUAAACCACAUUGCUUCUUUUAAGAACUCUGCUAGGGCAGCUUCCUGCUAUACUCUCGUACCUCAUCAUUGCCUAAAGCUUUCACAAUGGAAAUUCAUCCAUGUGGUAUAGAAGUCAAGUAAACAAACACUGCACUUACUCUAAAGGAAGUAACUAAACAUAUUACAGCAGCUGGCUCUAAUCAAAUGCGCUGUUCCAACAAAUUCACUGAUGACUAUACAAAGCUUGUUCGUUCCCCGGAAAGUCACUUAUAACCUCAUAGCCUGUUUAAACCUCAUUGCUUACUGCAGGCUCUGGCUCUACCUGCUUACAGCUGACAAAACAAACUAGUUCCUUUUUUCUCCUGCCUAGAAGCUAUCUGAAUGGAAUAUCGGCGUGGGGUUCAGCGAAAUCAAUGAUUCAAUCAGGUUCAGCGAAAUCCAUGGUUCAAUAAAGAUGGAUGCCUGCCACCUAUUCUAUUAAUGAAGUCUCUGGUCUGCUCGCCGGUAAAGAAUCGAGGUCCCUAUUUUGUAAGAAAGAGAAAACUCUGCUGCCUAACCGAAACCUAUACUGACUAUAGUGAUAGUACUCUUUUAUCUUGCCUAAAGCUUGUAUACUUGAUUUACUUAACUCAAUAAGCAACAUUAUACAAAGCUUGUUUGUUCUGUUGCGCUUACGCGAGUUCUUUGCCCUUCUUUGUUGAAACACCGAAGCUAACGCACCCCACUUCUGAAUCGAAUAUAAGUCAAAAACCCCGCUGCUACACUUACUUAUUGAAUGGAAUGGAAUCUCCAUAGCAUCAUAUAGAAUAGUUUAACCUAACCUGGAAACAAGAAAUAGCGUUAGUGCGAAGAGAAGAAUAGAGCAUUACAAAUAGAGAAGCCCAGCAAAAGACUCCUGACUGCUUAUUAGAAAGAAUAGAAUUGAUAUGGAGGCACCUAAUAUAAGAGACUAGAGCAAUAGUAACUACACUCCGAAUGAGGCACCCAAUAUAAUAGACUAAAGCAAUAGUAACUGAACUCCGAACUCUGGUAACGAAUAUCAUAGGCGCCACUCCCAAACGCGCAACAACAACAAGCUUACUCACUUGUGCUUACGCUUACUUACUUGUGCUAGCGGUUACUCUCAGGGGCAUGUUAUGUUGAGUUCGAGCAAGGAUGUCCUUUAUUAUUGAGUAAUCUCUAACCAACUAAGAGAAAGAAGGUUCACCCAAGAAAGUCAAGAAAGUGGAUUUCCUAUUCCUCUGCCUUUGAAUUUGUAUAUUAGGGCGGUAAUAGUAAGCUGGCGGUGCUUUUGUGGUAUCCGUCAAAAAGCAAUGCUCUGUGAAAGUGACUCAUUUCUAUAACAAACAGGAGAGCACUAAAUUCCAUUCAAUAACCCUAACUUGACCGACCAUGUAAAGGGCCUGGAUAAGGAUUAUUUCACGAAGUUGAGUCGACAACUGCAAAUGGAUUAGAAGCAGCCGCAAGUCACGUAUCUCAUCUAAAGUAUAAAGUCAGGUAUCAAGUCAAGGGUGAGGGGCAGUCAAGAGCAGAAGCAACAGAAGAGAGAUAUUAAGCAGUAUCCGGUGAGGAGGUAGAACCCAGAUCUUGAAAGUCCAAAGUGCGGGUGUUGCUGACUCGAAUGAAGCAGCGGCUGGUUAAGGGAAGGGAAUAGAAUGAAUUGCUUGUUCAACUCCAAUGUAUUAAGAAUUCAUUGAAUCCAUCGAGCUCCCUAAAGCCAGUUCUGCAAACCUAUAUUUCUUUCUUUAUUGCUUGCUCGGCGUGCCCCUUUGCUUCUUUCUCUCUUCCGGCAUAAUCAUCUUUAUCAGCAUCCAACGCUCUAGCUCCAUACAAGAGUACUUUCUAGGCGCUCUUCCUAUCCUCUCCUUCUAUAAUGAAAGCAUCCUUUCUUUCCUAGCACCGACGAAAGCAUCCUUUCUUUCCUAGCACCGACCAAGGCAUCCCCUUUCCCUCAAAUACUUGUUCUAGAAACUAUGGCUUGUUCUGUGCGUACCUCAAUUCCUUCUUCAGCGCUAAGGGAAUUCCUGUCUUCAUCUUAAAGUCGAGUGAGCGGAGGAAUAAAGUACUGGUGCGCGAACGGGAGUUUUAGUUGAUUGACUCGUUCGUUGAUUUAGUAUAUAAAGGGUAUUUAGAGAUAGAUUCCAUUCCAGUAGUUUGGAGUGCGAGAUAUCUUCUUUUUGGAUUUUCCAUUUCAUUCUUUGUUUACUCUGUUAAAGAUAAGAAAUAACUGGUAGACUCGGUACUUAGGGAGUUUCUGCUUGAUGGAAAUUCCCAUUACAUGGAACACAUAAGUUCAGAAAUGCAUCUUUGAGUUGCGCUAACCAUACUUCUUGUAUGGGGUUAGGUGCUUUAGAGUUGUCGCGGGUAGGUGCUUUAUAGAGAACAAGUAAUCUGAAUCUACUAAGCAAGAAGAUCUUCCGCGCACUAAGCAAUCUUAUCUUCUUCAAUAGGAUCUUGAACUGGACGAACAGAACUCGUAUUUACUUCAGGACAUAUGUUAGGUUCUCUUGCUGGUUAAGUUGCGCUUACGUGAGCGGGUGCUAAUAUUAGUCAUGGGAGUGAAGUAUGUUAGAUUACUCAAUUAUAAGCUGCAGCGGGCGAAAUCCUAGAAUGUUGCUAUGAGAGAAGCGUCGAGAAGCUAAGGUAAAGUAUCAAAAAGGUUUCGUUUAGGCCAAGCCGAUCACGAUCAGAUGAAAGGGAAGCCGUGUGUGUUGUUACAAUUUCUUUCUAUACCAUGCAAAAGAUGUAUUCAAUUCCUAACUUACAGUAUAGUUUGAGUUAGCCGUUGCUGCUUUUUCUGCUAGAGCUCCUUUUCGUUUCAAAGUCUUAGAAUCGACAAGUUUUCACCAGCUUACUGAGUUAUUAGAGUUAACGCCAGAGUUAUUAGAGUGUUUGCGAGCCAUUGUAUAGAAACACGUAGAAACACGGGUCAUUACAGAUCUAUUCUGAAAUAAUGUAUGUUCCAGAUCUAUUCAGAAAUUCCAUUCAACCAGAAAGCGCUUCCGCAAGUAAAGUUCCUGUUCGAAAGUCAGCAAACGAUUCAUCAAGUAGAGGUCGGGCAAGACGAACAAGUGGUGGGAGUGUAGUUCGGGCAAGUUCCAUGUAGGGUUUGACUGGUUUACUCAGAACAACAAUACUUUGUUGAGAGAGAGGUGAAUCGACAAGAGAAUCCGCAGCAAGCUUAGAAGAAAGGUUCAAGCGCAAGUCCUAUUAUCUUUCGGGAGCUCACACAGCAUCAUAUCUGACUUUAGCCUAAAAUCCUUAUUGAGUGUCGAGCGCAGAAGAAGAACCUAUCUCGGCGUCAACUAAAACUUAUUCCACCUUUUAUCUAUCAUUGCCAACUAACAAGCAAGGGAAGGAGCUACUGCAGGACAAUAUGCCAAUUCCUCAUCACCCAUAGGAAAUGACUAGAAAUAUCCGUUUCAGCGUUAACCGACAGUUGGACCACUACCCGGGCCGGGCCCUCAUUCUGUACACCACCUAGCUUAUUGAGUUUGCACAUAUAGAAUAGUGUUUUGAGUUGGCACAGAUAGAAUAGGGCUUGUUCCACUAUCUGCUCUCGAGUCUAAUCCAGUUUAUGCUUUUGGAGAAAUAGAGGGAUCACCCCCUUUUUACCUUAAUAAGAGGCCAAACCUUGAGAAAUGGGGAAAGCAUCAUCCCUUUGAAGCCUUAAUUCGUGGGUAGCUUCCGGUCUAUAGAUUUGUAUAGUAGCGGUCGUUUUCUAGGAAAAGGUAGUGGGCUAUAUAUAUACUAUCUUUCUUAGUAGUACCAUCUUCAGUACGGGCUGGCUUAGGAAGUACCUUUAUAUUGUGAGCAGGCACAGUUCAAGUCAAGUGUUUCAAUUCUAAGAAAAUCCUAUACUAUCUAUCAUUAGUAAGCUUUGAAUGGGGGGAAAGGAAAGGAAAGAGGAAAGGUACUGCUAUUCAUCCCUAGAUUGAGAAAAUGAUGCCUGCUAUAAGUAUAGAUAAAGCAGAAGAAAUCCUAUAUGGGACAAACUCUGUAUCGCCUAGUAAAUGUGCUUAUCGAGAAUUAUGGAGUUGGUUGGAAGGAGUUGGAAAGCAGCUAUCUGCGCCCUUCCUCGUUUCUGGGUGCCUCCGCCCUUAUUCGCACUUCCGCCUCUUUCUUUCUCUUUAGAAUAUAAGGAAAUGCCUCGGGUAGGAAAACCAGAAUCAAGAGAGAACCUUUCAAUAGACUAAGAAAGAGAUGGUCGGCAGAUCUGACUCAUAAAGAGUUGUAAUGUUCCGGGGUCUCGCUAACCAACUCUGGUCCAGUAGCCAUUCUUAGUGGAGCAACGGAUAUAAGAAGAAGAGCAGCAAUCACUAACCUAUGAAAAAACAGCAAAGACGGCUUUCAUUGAUGGAAGUCAGUUAGAUAGCGGUCCUUUCCCUACGUGAUAGGAGACCAAUACAGCGAGGUCGCAGCGGGCUUACUCCUUUGUUAACCUGAAUCGGCCAUUGUCUUUUCCCCAGGUGGUAAAUAACUGACUUAGACUAUAGCGACCCUCAGAUCAGAAGAAAGAACAACUUCUCAAGAAAAGGAGGAGGAGCACACCAACUCUCAGAAGAAUUCCUGGCCUUGUUACAACAAUACGCUUCAAAUACUCCAUUAAUUAGGAAUUGGGCCAAAGACGAAAACAAACCUUCGAUUGGCUAAGAGAAGAUAAGUUCUAGGCUACGAGGUUAUUUACCCAAGAAAUAACGGUGAAUCUUGCUUCAUCGACUUUCCGCUUAGGAAGUAUUCUAUUUGGCCCCGAGUCCAUUGGCUUCAGUCGUGUCAAUGUCGGUGAUAUGGAGUUCAUUCCUUCCACUCAUUAUAGCCGGUAAGAGAAUCAAUUCAGAUUGCCUGCCCGGGAGUAGAAAGGGCAAUAGUGGGUGUAGAAGGAGCUCCCUGGCGCGGUUCCAUUCCUUAACUAUGGAAUUGGUGUAGUAUGUCGCUUUAAAGGCCUUCAAUCAAAGCUUUGUUCACUGCCUCGGAUGAGUAUUGACAUCAAAGUGUUCCUAACAGCCCUUUUCUAAAUAAUCAAUCAAGUUAUCGCUUUCUGCUAAUGGAAUAUAAUCCGUUGACUUGCAGGAGGAUUUCUCAAGUGCAUUUGAAAGCCCAUCUCUUGGAAGUUCUCUUGGUAGUAUAAUUGGAUCCCGUGCUAUUAGUAUCUCUGUAAGCCUUCGAUCCAGUUGUGUCUGAGCGAGGUAAAUGUAUCUGGCCCAUUGCCUUAUGUUAUAAGAGCUUUCUCCCUUUCUUUUUCGUGUGCAUAGAUGGAGAAAUCACGUCUGUCAGGACAUUUCUUAGGUCUAUAACGCCCCUUCCAAAUAUCUAUAGUUGGGGUUGGUUGGAUUUGAAACUAAUUGUGGAAAUCUGCCUACAAGGCUUAAAUCAAGGCAUCUGCGGAGCAAUUCCUACUUGGCUUACUUGGUUUUUAGGUAACAAGUAACUACAAGCACGAAAGGGAUUGAGCGUUAUCGAAAGCCGUUGCGCUAAGGCGCUUUAGUUUUAUGGCAGGGUUAGGUAAGAGUGAAUCAGUGUAUAGCUUUCACCGGCCGAGUAUAGGAAGUCGUUCCAACGCGCACCGAGUGUUUUUCUUUCUAUUGAUUGAGACCUAGCCUCUGGGCACUGAACUGUGGCACAGAACCGCCUUUCUAGGUAUGGGACUCGGAGCUCUAAGCGUUGAUCACAUCGCUUUCAACCCAACCCCUCGGGCUAUCGUUGCGCUCGACCAGAGAUUCUUCCCCUGACAGCUAGUUGAGGGUAACUAAGCUCAUCUACUGCUUCUAUUAUUGCACAACCAAUGACAAGCAAAGGGUAACUAAGCUCAUCUACUGCUUCUAUUAUUGCACAACCAACGACAAGCAAAGGCCAGACCUGAGCUUUAUCUGAUCGUCCACACAUUUCUUAGCAGUUAUAUAACAUGCAAAUUCUCUUUUCUGAGAUAGCAUUAUUCCUCUUCCUUCGGUUCGCGCUGUAGUUCCGUUAGCCUUAUUCGUUUGCUUUGCGGAAACAGUUUCAACGACGGUUGACUGGAAGCAGUCUUUGGAUUAGAAGGAUGCGCAACUAGUAUUGUAUUGUCUUUCUUUUUGACUCGAAGGACGUUCAGGUUCAAGUUGGAAGUUCCGAUCCUCCCCACAUAGGGCUUUCUCUAUUUUCUCAAUAGGCGGCGCAAGGCCUAGCCAUCCUUGUUGGACCCGAAGGCACGAACCUCUGAGAAAGUAGUGCAACUGGACGAUCCUAGCCGAAGUUUCCACUCGAUCUUAAUCUUUUUCACUACAGCUAUUAGCAGGCCAAAACCCCAACGUCCCAAUCCAACCUUCGUAAAACACCCAGACCUGACAGGUAACUAACGAGAAGAGAGAUGGGAACUAAGUCUAGCUGACGAUAAAAGCCCGGGAAGACCUCUUGUCUACCAGGCGAGCGGGUUCAUUGUAAAGUCUAUACGCAUCUGGAUUGCCCUACGCCGGACGAGCGAACAACGGAAGGUCAACCGCCUUAACUUCAAGGAGGUUAGGCGUUCUUUCCACUUUGUUUCAAUCAACCUAAAGGAGUACUAUCGGUUGUUUAGUGAGUACCUUAAUCUUAGCUAGGGUUUCUUCUGGUUUAGGUGGAAUCUCGCUUCGCACCUUGCCUUUCCUUUCUCUUAUGUUUGAGUGCAGUUACAUGAUUGGGAUAACUAAGCUUACUACCCAGAGCUUUCACUUCUCGCGGUUCACCACCAAUAAGUCAAUGGUCAGUAGGCAAGUUAACCGCUUUUCUCCUGGAAGGGUUUUAGCGGGUACCCCAGUGAUACUAAGUCUACGUCGAUUCUUAUCCCACGAACAACAACUUAGACUUCUGCUUAUUUCACCUUAUGCUUCUUAGGAUUCUUACUCAUAUUCUGCUUCUCUUGCUUCUUCUCGUUAUAACCCUUCUUCAUCCGGGAGAAUACCUUCCUCUUAGGUAGUCCCAAACACAAUAGAAAGACUCUUCAGCGAAUCUCCUUCCAGGAAGUGCGAAAGCUUUCUACUAUUUCCUUAUCUCUUUAGCUCAGGAUCCUACUUCCCCGCUCCGCUCCUGAUGUAGGGGUUAACACAUAAGAGUUUAAUCAACCGGUUGCAAUGAAAAACCUUUGGAAUAGCUUCGAUUCCUUGACUUUUGGAAGUAAACUGUGAGAAAGCUUUGAAAUCAGACACUGGAUCCCGAGAGUAAGUCUUUUGCAUACCCGUCAAAGGUGGACAAUGCUUACUUACUCCUGUGCUUAAUUCAGUCCAUUAGCCUUUUUGCCAAUAAAUAGUCUAUUACUUCUUUCUUCAAAUGAAGGAAAAACUCUUACAUGCGGGUCUUUCACUGAAAUAUGUUGAAAUAUGGGAUUCCUAUGACUCUGGCUUCUUACCCCUGACUUCCCACUUUCUGAGGCCUUUCCACAUCAGGAUCAGGGUAAACCUUUAAGAAACGCUCAGGGUUCCACUAUUAAUAAACCCGCAUAGUAUAAGGGAUAUUGACUCGCAUAGUCAGGGAUAUGUACGUUAUAUAAUCAAUCUUUUGGAUAACUGUUUCUAUAUCAGCUACAAUGAACGGAUUCCUUUUAUUACUAUGUUAUUAGUGUGCUGGUAUAUGGUCGGGAUAACUACUAAGCUUACUACCCAGAGCUUUAACAUCUCGCGGUUGACCAGUGUGACCUCCAUAUAUGAAUUAGCAAGGCUCAUAAUUUCAUCGGAGCCAAAGAGGCAACUAUAUAGCUCGGCUAUCGUUACAACCGUACAUAUACACUUGAAUAAAGAUACCUGAUAACAAUGCUUGAUCGUCCAAUGUAGCUUUCACUCUGACUUGUUGUUCAAUCAUCAAAUAGAAUUCAUGUUAGGCACUAAAUGACCACUAGCAUCUUCCAAAGAAAUAGCACUACCUAAUGUAUAGGAAACAUCCCUAGUUUAGGUGUGUGUGUUUUCAUGUUCUAACCUAUAGUCAACUUAGCAUACUCGCACCCUGUAUUGUAAGCGUACUUAAUUCACUCAUGUUAUCACUUUCACAGUCAAUACAUCGUAGUCAAGGUUCUUUCAAUCUUACUGAAGCUAUUAACAAUCCUAAAUCAUUGGUGGAAUAUGGAAUUUCUCACGAAUUAUUAACUGCUCUAAACGCUGCCAAUAAGCAUUCAACAUAGAUUUCGAAUAUGAAACUGCGGUACUAGAAGAUCCAACGGAAGAGAAGAAUAGGCUGCUUUGCUUUCAUUUAUCUAGCAACCUCCUAUAAGUAAGUUCUUUUUUCAAUCAUAUCCUUAGUAGUGUACACUGUAGUUAACAUUCAGCCUAGGCUUGGAUUGGCCAGCCGGCGGAUAGUCACUAGCAUCUUCUAUCGAAUCCUCAAUCUUUUAGAUCUUUUUCGGGAUGGAAGAUUGGAGGUCUAGCUGGAUCUCUCUCCAAAGAAACAAUACUCAAGCUUGCCUCCGGGUGGCCUUGGCGAAUAGAAGUAGUUCCUGUAUGGGGUGGAGGGAAGAGGAGUCGACCAAUGAUACUUACGUCGAUGUCCAGGUAUGGUGGGAAGGACUGAGUGAUCUUCGUCUGGCCGAAAGAAGCGAGGUAGGCCGGCAGAGAGUGGGAAAUAUAGGCCAAGCUACCACUGAAGUAUUUGUAGCCAGAGCCGAGUAGAGGUAUAGUAUCUAGCUAACUCAGGUGCCGGUAUUUAAUAUAACUCCUAACUCAGGAUAAGUCCAUAAUACAUAAUAGCUAGUGCAUUCCUUUCUUACAGGAUAUACGAUCUAGUGCAUUCCUUUCUUACAGGAUAAGUCCAUAAUACAUAAUAGCUAGUGCAUUCCUUUCUGAAGUAUACGAUGUAGCUAAGUAAAGGUACGAUGAAGUGCAUUACACCUAAGUAUAUAUUAAGUAAAGGUACGAUGUACCGCAUCUAGUAUCAGAGCCAAAAGCCUUAGUUCAAUUAUGACUUGCUUCAUUCGGCUUGUAUACUAUGGAUGGAAACGACUUGUAUACUAUUGGCUCAUCUCAUCUAGAUUCUGAAUUGUUUUGAUCUGCAGCAGCUGUCGUUGACGGCUUCGUUGGUUUGGUUGCUACCAGUGAAGUUAAGGAAGCGAAAGCUCACAGAAGUAGAGAUCUGAAGCCCUACGGAAUCUUGACUUUAGCAUUUCCGCCCUACGGAAUCUUGACUUUAGCAUUUCCAAAUCCCCGUCUUACCAGGUAAAGUAAUGAAGUAAUGAGUUCGAUCGAAACUGGAGAGUUAAGGCUGUUAAAGUGAAUAUACUCAUAUGUAGAUGUAGUGCUUUUCAAAGCCGACUGAUAUUGAUAUAUAAGAGAGGCUGAAGCAACUGCCUGAGCCGUGGAUCCCGUCAUAGAAGAAAUGAGAUCGAACCUAUACUAACAAGCUGCAGUUAGGAAAAUAGCAUGCUCCCUUCGUUGGCUUCUGCUUUUCUAUCUGAAUUCUCUCUAAUAACGAUAACAGGUCUAGCUUCACUAACAGUAUUCACUGCUUUCCAGAUCUCUACACCUUUCUCAUCGGCAUUCGAGAGACAAGUGUUGUAGACUAGUUUCUUUCUGUUCGCCAAAAGGCCUUGUUGACGCCCCGGUGAGCCAAUACACUUGAUUUAUCGCUUCGGGAGCGCUGCCCGUGUGCGAGCUUAGCAACCCUAUUUAAUUGAAGCAAAUCCCUGUUUCAAUGUACAAAAAGCAGAAAUGAAAGACACUUACCUUCGUCUGGAAAAUAGAGAAUAGGGCCCAUCAUGACAUACACCUUUCUUUUCAACAAAAAGAUCUCCUUAAGCGUUGGGGGGACAACGGAUUCGAGGACCAUUAACUGAGCACUUCUUGUCUUGCAAAUGCUGGUAGAUCCGUGUUCAUUGUUCUUACCGUAGGGAAUCAUAAAUCGUCGCCCAGUCAACCUCCUGUCAAAUCAAGACCUUAAAGAGUCAUCUAUAUGGAACAACGGGAAACUCAUCUUACCGGGCGAAAGGGCACAUAAAAUACUAUUCUUUCUGUAGCUUCAGCAAAAGCAUUGGACAGCUGGUCUUGCCUGCCCCAAUCAAGAAAGAGAUAUCAGUCGGCCCACACUACUUACAUCUUCAAUAUAAUAAUUCCUUUUAGUUAGAGGUCAGGUCCGCUUAACAUCACUGAUGUAGACCUUAGCCUAUACAAAAUGAGAUUCUCCUCCCCACUAGAAACUCCCUUCUGCUUUCCCACUAGAAACUCCCUUCUGCUUUCUUUUGGAAUGGAUUGAAUCGGUUUUCACUGUAUGGAAUCGAAACGGACACUUCUAUGAUUGAAAAAGCAUGACUUUUGCAGCAAGGGUUCAUGGAGAUAUUGAGUUUUCCUAAAUAGAACUAGAAAGAGCCAAUAAGAAACCUAAACCCAUCUUGAUACUUUCCUAUAAACCGAACCGGGGAAAACUCGCUGAGGACAAGAUCAAUAGUAUAAUAAGGUCCAUGCCCUUCUUCUUGUUUGCCCGGUGUUUCUUUUAUGGUGAGUGAAUAGCCGGUCUUACUGAAUGCGUAAGCGCAGUGCCCUUCGGAACUCUAUUACCAAACCUGAUUCCCAGUAACCGACGCUAUUUCAUCCGGUGCUACUGCUUGAAUAUGAGUUGCCGCUGCAGAAGACAAGAUGGACGUCACCCCAGCUAUUGAAGAAGACAGUAGGAAUCUAACUCUACAAAUAGGAUUUCUCAUUGACGUUCCUUAGAAGAAGAGUAUCCGACAAUGCUAGGAAGAUGCCCAGAAUCGGUUGUUUGCAAAUAAGUUGUUGAAGGAAGUUUCUCACUAACCGGGGUCAGUGCUCUCGUCCGAGUACCCUGGGUUUCUUUAUUAAUGAAUACCUUCUCUUCCUGAAGCGGCGAACUCUUCUUUCACCCCAAAGAUAGUAAGUGCAAUACAAUACUAAAUACGCGGAGUCCUAGCACUAGGUUUUUCUUCAAUAGGUUAGCGCGAGCACAGGAUAAAGGAACAACACUUCGACGCUGGGUAAGGUAACACAACCUCUAUCUUUGGAAUCAAUAAAGGAAGAGCUACAGGCGAGGGAUUCUUCUCGGAAGGGGACAGGCUUUAAAUUGGAGGAGCUUCAAACUCUCAGGGAAUCUAUUACGUCUGUCAAGCCACUAAAACAGGACAGCCAGAAAUGUCUCAAUUACCGCCUUAGAUCUCCUGGACUUGCUCAUAACUCAGGUACCCGGGGGCUUGCUCAUAACUCGCCGCGCAACUACUAGUCAAGUUUUGGGGAAUCCAUCUUGCGGUUCGAGCACAGAGCUCCUAAGCGCCCAGCCCCCAAAGAAAGAGUAAUGCGUGUCAGAUUAUGGUUACUUAAUUACUUAUAGAAGUGGAAGAUGGUUUUUAUCUACACUAACAGCGCCCCGAGAGUAAGCUAACGCACAACUGAACAGAACAAUACGGUUUUGGAAGCUAAUCUUUGCUGUGUUGUUAUUCAAGUCUAUAUGUGGAUAGCUGAAUUCAAUAAGCAACGGCGAACUCACUUAUGUUCUUAGUAACCUACAGAGCGCUAAAGAACUGGAAUGCCCAACUCCACCACCUACUAGAAACUCCUAUACAGUGAAACCAGAUACAAGACAGGUUCUCACUAUUUAUUGUCUGUUACUACUUAUAGUUUCUUGGCGAGUAGUAGCUUGGUGGUUUCAAAAGACACUAUCUACUUCUCAAGCAUUAACAACUAAGUCGGGACUGUAGGAAGUAAAUCAUUCAUAUCAUCUAUCUAUCGCAUAAGAUCUUGGCGCAGAAGCUCAGUAUCCGUAUAGAAGGAAUUGAGGAGCUCACUGAUGCUGAAGACAGAAACCCAUAAGAAUCUAGGUAAACAUCUUGUCUCGCGCUUACCGCUUCUGAUCUCGUUGACUUAACAAGAACAUCAAUAUAUUCCAGUACAAAUGGCGCUUGAGCUUGAUGGUUCAUCUGCUCCAUAUUCUGAUCCUGCACUUUCACCGUGAACUCUAAACUCCCUUAGCAAUGAGAUUGAACUGAUUGAAACUGCAUUGCAUGUAUCACAGGAAUUGAAGAACCCUUAGAGCCCACUUGGGAACAAAGAAGGAAAUUGAGCCCAUCUAUUCCACUACGCACAACUGUCACUCUUUUAGACGAUGAAGACAGGCGAAUACAGCACUCGUUUUACCAGGCGAAUACAGCACUCGUUUUACCUGGAUUAACAACGUGUUUUAGGGCGUUACUACAAAUUCGGGUCUCUUCGAUCCACUCCUCUCGAAGUUAUGAAUUGGAAUAUCCAUCUUACGCUUCGCUCUAACAGUAUCUGGAUCUGCAGUAUCUGUCGUUAAAGGUAGUCAAAGGAUAUGCAUAUGGACGAGUAUGGGCAUAAGUAGCCACCGUCGGUUUAUGGGCAUCAUGAAAUGUUGUAGAUAGUGGUUCUUCUCUAAGGGGGUCAGGGUAUUACCAUGGAUAGUCAGGAUGUUUCAUUUGGUGAUCGUGAUAGGGAUUCAGAUCUUUAUAUAGUCCACUCUGUUGAUUCAGUAGAUCUGGCCGGUUGAACGCUUUCUAGCAGCACCAAAAGCUUCGGUAGUUGUAUGGGGUUUCAAGUGGAUAUGGCUGUUGGUUUAUGAAAUCCCGAUUUGAACAUCCAGAUGAGUGGGCAGAAAUACCUUACUUCUCUUCUCUGAUCCACUAUUGUCUUCUCCUCUCUAUGGAGCUCUCCCACUCUAACCCUAUCUAUCAUUGCUAAUAACUUGUUGAACCUUGGGAUAGAACCAUAUAGAUCAAUCACCUCAUACAUAACAUAGGAUGAGAUUACACAAGUAGCAGAGAAGGCACCUACCUUUAAGCCGGCUUGUAAGUGAAAGGUCUCGCUCGCUAUAAACCGAAACCUUGGUCGUUCCCGUAUCAUCGAAUUAAUAGCUUUGGUUUUGAUCUUGGUCUUCCCUUUCACCUUCGAAAUAUCGGAUUCGUCUAUACUUUUUAGCAGACGAGUCACAAAAAACCUACGGAUCUGUAGGCGUCGGAGCAAGCGGUUAAGGCCACGGGCAAGAAUAAGAUGACUCCCCGGAAUAGGAUGCUUAGAAUAGGGCAGCACUUAAGUGGAUAAGUGGAUACUCAACAUCUAUUUUCUGUCUCGUUCGCUACUUCAGGUCAACAUGACGCAAUUGGUGAAGUUUGAAUUAUGACUAUAGCAGCCACCUAUCUCAUCUCGGGGGGAAGGCCCCACUAGAAAUUGUGAAGAGGACCCGCUCGCGUCGCAUGCUCGAUCUAGCCCAAUUGGUUGGAUGAGCGGCAGAUCCCUUACUCCGGAAGGAAUCCAAAGUCAGUAAGUCUGGUUUCUAGUUUAGUCUAACACAGUGUCUUUGCUUUCUCCGUUCACGUCACGUUUGCAUUUGCAAAGAGGUCUAAUAAGUCUCCGUUUGUUUUCAGUGUAACCUACGGACAACCAAAGUCUAAGAGAGAAAGGGUAUGACGAGUGGAUUUUUACCCGAAUCUGUCUCCAAUUCAGCUAGGGUCUUUCUUUCUUCUUCACAGCCAGAAAGUGGCGAAGGCAAGAGGUAUAAUAGGUAUUUUGGCUGCCUGAUUGACUGCUUCCAAUUGAAAGGAGAGACUUGAGCUCGCUUUAAUGAAUAAGUCGGGAGAGGAGGGCCUCUUUGUUUUGUUACAACACUUAAGGACUUAGGGAUCCCUCAAAGGACUGGGUUCAGGCUAAACCAAGUCUUCGUCUACCCUUUAUCGAACCAGAUCCAUGCCUUGGGCUUGAGUCCCCGCUUCGGUAGGAGUGGCAUUAUACAUUUCGAAAUUCCUAAUUGGAUCAUACAGAGGUUGUGCUUAUUCAACGACCCCUUCUGGUUUUAGCUCUGACAAACUGCCCGGAUAGCUUACGCUUACAAUCUAGUACAGGUGGUUAGGUUGAAAGAAUCAAUGGCAAUAGAAUUCCUGCUCAGGUUCAAUGUUACUCGUUGGCACUUGUUGAUGCGCUACUACUAGCAGUUCCACUUUUGCAGCCCUUUGCAGUAGACUAGCCCUUGAGAAAGAGAUUCAAUAGCACCGGUAAAAGAGCUAGCUUUCUCUUUAAUUACUUCAUCCUUUCUAUAUCCCUCUCCUUUGUUCGAUGUUACUCAUCAAAUGGCAACUCCGUUCAUAUCUUCGAUCAUUUACAAGGUUCAAGAAAGGGGUGGGGAAAUCUUAGUUGAGGUAGCGCGCUUCUUGUUAGGCAGGAAAUGCACCACCUUUUUUUCUGUUAUUUGAAGACCACGCAGCGGUAUACAUUGCGGCAGGCAGACGGGUUCAUUAAGAAGUCAAUUUGAAGUCAAUGUAGGUGCGGGCCGGUGUCCAUCCCGACAUGGGAACAUUUCUUUUCUUUGUAAAUGUCCUUCCAUUUUGCCCUUGGUAGGGAAGGAAAAAAGGUUGCUUGGCCCCUUUUUGAUGUUCAAGUAUAUGUUUGGAGUUCCAUCCUUCUGGUUAAUAGUAGAUUGCCGGUUACUUGUUUCUGUGGGUUAAUAGCCCGGUUAUUACUUGACAAAACUCACCUAUCUCUCCGCUCGGGUAAAGCAUGUAGUUCAUAUAAGAUAACUUCAUACUUAAUUGAAGAAUUCAAAGCAGUAGUGACAGACCCAAACCCAACUCGAUCGUAGCACUUUAGAGCUAUGGGAAACAACUCCUCUGCGUAACCGACUGGCUUUUAGGCGGGAAGUAGAGAAUUUCCUGUUACAAAAGGUGAGUUACUGGGUUAUCAAUGAGUGACUGGGUUAUCAUAAGUGCUAGUGUUGUUGGUUCUUAUAAUAUAAUAAUAAUUGCCUAGCAAACAAAUAAUUGAGAAAAUGAGAUAUACCUGCUCUACCUGUCGAAAAGAAGCAGUGCUAGGAAAGCAGUCAGCAUCAGUGAGAGAUAGAUCCAAUUAUGAAAGUAUAGAGUCCGGGUUAAGUUCAGAAUCCAGUAUUGGGGGGGCUCCCUACCCGCUUAUUCUUAUUCUGUUCAAGGGUGCUUACGCUUAUGGGUGUUUCCGUAAAGAUGUUAUAGGCUAAAUGAAUUCUAAGAGCCGAUAAAAGCCCAAGUGUAGAAUUUGCCAUAAUCUUUGUUGACCAGAGUUAGCAAAAAGAGGUUGACUGCGCAGAUAUCCUGAUAUUCUAGCUUGAGUUGAUAGGAGAGCAUCUUUGCCAGCUGGGUUUUCUCUUGAUCUUUACGUGCCCCUAGCGGAACUAUAUGUUGCUGUCGGUAACACUUAGAAUCAAGCUCUGGCAUCUGAUCUCGGAGACAACACUCGAACAGCGGAUUAUUCCAAAGAACUGGUUACUGCAGGAUCUGCUCUAUCAACUUCCUAUCCGUACUUUUCUUUCGCCUAACCAACAACCAAGCAGGAUCCGCUCUAUCAACUUCCUAUCCGUACUUUUCUUUCGCCUAACCAACAACCAAAAUGAAUCUAUCUCCUUUUUAAUACAUAUAUAACUCCGGAAUGUAAUCAAGCAGAAACUCCAUUAGCGCUUGAGUAACUAACUGACGCCACUUAGUCUGGCAAUACUUAACACUUCAGCUACCCAAUUGAUUCUUUCGCACUCAAAACUUCCCUUACCCCCUUCCCGCUUCAAAUCCAGAUACGGCUUUUUCUUUAGUGGAUGAUCCCCGUCCUCUUAUCUUUAUUCUUUACCGGAAUCUUCUGAUCUGAUCCUUUAGUUGAUCUUCAAUAUUAUUUCAUUCUCCUACUCGAGAGAAAGAAGCUAUGGGUGCAAUUCUAUAUCAACUCCUCCGCCUAAUGAUUCUGUUUCCUACCUUGAAGUCGAUCAUUCCAUUCUCCAUUAUGACUUUCUAGUGUCCUUCUGAACUUUCGAGUGUCCUUCUUACUUUCCGUUUCCUACUUUAGAGCACUUGUUGGGCAGGGCUAGUUACUUCUUCUAUCUUACAUGGCUCAUUCUUCUUUUUCAUCUACUGAUCUCGUUUACUUAAGUGUCAUUGUCUGCGCUGCGAGAGAGGUUCCGGUUCUUUACUUGCCGUGUUUGUGUAUAAGUAUUAAAGUGUUGUGACGCGCUGUCAUAGGAGAAGAGCCCGCAGUAAAGUAAGCUCGAAAGAUGGCAUUCCAUUCUUAUUGUUUAGUUGCGCUUACGAAGGAGUGAGGAGCAAGUGUAGUUUUAGGCAUCUGAUCUUUCUUAUCCUCUUUCAGAAUUGCUUGCAACUGACAAUUUCACUGCUUACUCCAUUGGUGCGCUAACAGAGCGAGUCCUUUAGGGAUUUCAAUCUCUUCAUACAAAACUUGAUACUCUACUUGAUUUCUGAACCGAUUGUUGCUUCCUUACCGGAUUUGUAUUCUUUCUCUGCUCUAACUCUGACCUAUGGCUACUAUUAACUUCAUUCUUAUCCGAUACCUCUGUCUCAUCUCCCUCCCCGGGUAAUGAUUCCGUUUCUUCCGUUCACGGUUCCAUUCCAUUCUGACUUUCCGACUUGAGAGAAAGAGAGCACCUGGCCUCGCUUUAAGGCUUAUACGGACUAGUUCAAUUCCGCACUUCAGUACUUAUUGCUUAGCUUCCUGGCCUAUCCCUUAACUACCCUAACAAGUAUUUCGUACCUACCCGAGCCAAAGAAUGAGUUUUCCUACUGAUUGUUGUGCCCUUCGUCCGUGAUCAAUUAACUUAAAUACUACUAUAGGAAUAAAGCCAUCGAGAAAAGGAAUUUCCCUAGGAAUAGAGAAUAUGGAUAUGAUCUAAAGCUCUGUAAUAGUGAUAGAAGAAUUGUCAUAUAAUAAUUGAUAGAAGAAUUGUCAUUGGUUCCAAAGCUAACUAAGUAAGAAAGAGAACUGGCACUGAGGAAACAAUCUUCAGAAGAGAAUUGUGGCACUGUCCAAAGGGAGUAGUGUAAGUUAGUGUUUUUCUAUUAAUACAAGCAAGAAUAUAGAGUGGGUAAGAUAGUUCUUCUAUUGAUACAAAUAGUAGGGUGGUUUUUCUUUUGAUCUAGUAACUAACCCAGCAACUUCUAACUAUACAGGUCACCCAGCAACUUCUAACUAUCAGGAUGGAACUGCCACCAAGAAAAAUGGUACAAGAGGGCAUAGAAUCAAACUCAUCCGUAUCAGAAUUAGGGAUGUUACUUGCAUUCUGUAUACUCGCCUAUCACUACUAAACUCAAGAAUUAGGGAUGUUACUUGCAUUCUGUAUACUCGCCUAUCAUUACUAAACUAAAGGGAUUUGUUUCGUUUCUAUGCUUUCACUCACCAACAUAUGUUUCUCAGCCUUACAUUCCUUCUUUUGAGUCUUGCUUGACUUGCUUUGAGUCUAGUGCCCCCGUCUUCCAUUCUGCAUUGAACCACUCUAUUCUUAUUCUUUUAUCCUUUCUGAGUCUUCUAAUUGCCCUUUUCGUUCUUUUACGAUUUGACCUCUAAGGUGUGGGGACUGUUGCUUAUAAGGCGGAAAACCAUUACCGACAAGAAUAACCGGUGUGGGCAACCCUACCUAUAAAUAACCUUUCUGCUAAGGAAGAAUCCAACUAGGGACAGUCAGACAACAGCUACUAAUAUAAGAAGUUAACUGGAAAGUUCGAAUGAAAAAAGACAGAAGUAAGUCUACCUGCCCGCAAUACAAGACAAAUGGGAUCAAUAGACAGAAUGGAACCAAAAGAGUUUAGCGGCAGGGCUCUUUCGUAUACAUUUCUUAGUGACAUAAAGAAUUCUACUAGUGCUUCCAAGAAACCACCUCCCAUAAAACAGAAUAUGAAUGCUACCUAGAGCAAUUGAACUCAGGAAUCAACACCGCUACUAUAGGAUUGAUUGUCCUUACUUGCCUUUUAGCCUUACCUUAUGUAUCUCGGUCUGAUAACCUGGGAACUAAAUCUGACUUAAUUACAUCCAAAUCUGACUUCUUUUCUGACUCCUAUGGUGGUUAGUUACAUUCCCGCUCUCCUGUUGACAAACUUGCCUUCUUUGAUUCUCACUAUCCUGCCUUUGACUACAGGAGUUAGAUGAAGGAGUUUCGGCCUACAACUCAAUAAUGAAAGAAGCAAGUAGAAGACUAAGCUCUCCCGACGGAAGGUACAAGAAUCAAGGUGGAAAUAAGGAAUUUUCAUAAGUAGAGGAGUAGCAUGGGCCCCGACCUCUCAUAGAUCAGCUCAUAGAUAAGAAUGAACUAAAUGGUAUAAGAGUAACAGCCCGGGGACAAAGGCUUAUAUGUGUGGGUUUGCUCUUAUCGAGUUAGUAGCGCUAGUUGGAUUCUAUUGCUUGUAUAGGCUAGAUCUUAUUCUCUAAAUAUAAGUAAAUAGAUAAGUAAUUGUAUGAAAUUCAGAUAAUAGAUAAGGGUAAAUAAACAAGUAAGAACCAAAGCCAGGGUUUAGUACAGUAAAGCAAGAAUUCCAUUGAGGAGUAAGGCCUCAGGACUGAACCAAGGAAACCUAACUCGAAACACAGGAUUGAACUCAGAGAAGUAAGGCUCCAGCUGGAAACUCAGAAGUCAACUAGUGCUCCCUACGCCUAAACUACUCUAACAGGCCCCAACUCAUAACUUGGAAUGAACUGCUGACUAAAAGCUUGAACUCAACACUUAUAAUCAAAGGAGUUUAUUACACUCUUUCUCUUUUUCAUUUAACGAUAAGGGCUAUGGUAUCGGUGUGAAGUAAUAAGUAGAAGUGGGGAUACCACCUAGCGCACCUACUAAGAAGAAUGAGUCUAGGAAUAAAGAAUUGAGCACUGCUCCAACUGAUCAAACUAAGAAAUAUAAGGAUAGGGUAGUCUGUAGCACAUUAAGAUUAAGAGUCACUUCUGGGAGUCUUGCUUUUAGGCUGUAGUAACUCCCACCCUGCUUAGUCUACUGAUCCAUACGAGACUUAGAGCUGGGGAUCAUAGUUGGAAACAGGCAGCAAGGUUUGAGUGUCGUAUAUAGGAUAGGGAGGGAUGUCAGUAGCGAAAGAAUGAUAUGAAUACAAGUAACGUGGGGCUUGGCUACUGUUGAGUAGGACUUGGUUUGUGAAGUAAGAUUGACUACCCGAAGAGUAAGGCUGGUUUGUGAAGUAAGUCCUCUAAGUGGUAGGUUUCUUUCUUUUAUUAUGAUAUAAUAACCAACAGUUCUAUUCUCGUGGUAGUGGUUUGAAGCCUUGUUGUCUCAUUGAUUAGCCGUAUCAGUAGCUCAUAGACAGAUUAUUCACCCAGAAGAAGGAAGUACCCCGGGCCAGGCGCCUACACACUCCUAACUGACCUUACCGCACUAUACCUCUAUUUGUUAUACCUGUUCUUUGCGUCCUUGCUUUCCCACCCUGGCAUCAUACUGUUCGCCAGCGUAUCAAUCUUACUCACCGGUAGCACCAAGCCUAUGUUUAUUUAUAUUUCAUAAUAGUAUGAUGUUUAUUUGUAUUUGAUAAUAGUAGUUUGAUCUGAUCCCAGCUUAUUGUUGAAUUACUGAUAUAAGGUUCAAGUAUGAUUGGUGCCAGCUCCACUCUUGUUAUAUCUGUAGUUGGGCUCUAUCUCCCUAUGCGCCAGGAUCGUACCUAUGAGUUUCAGAAUAAAAGCAUCAAUAAUCAAUACACGAUGCAAGUAAGCUGCGGAGGAGUAAAAGCGAGGAGCUAGUUAUCGAAUCAACCAAAGAGAGGUAGACCAAUAGCCGGGAAGGGAAGAGUGAAAGGUAGUUUCAAAGGAUGAUAGACAUGUUAGUAAUAAUAGGAGUUAGGUUAAUGAAUUUCAGUAUUAAAGUUAGGAUCGGACGGGACAGAUUUCUUUCACAGUAGGUUAAGCUUGAAGGCGGGGAUGUGACUUAACGAACACAAAGAUCUGCAUCCACACAAGUACAAGGGAUUCCACAAAGCUAGUAGGUAAGCGAUACUGUCUUUGCAUACGAGCUCUAGGGCUGAGAGUAGUAAGCAUCAGAACUCAACAAAUAAGUAAAGGAAUGAAGCCACUAACUAGCAGAUGGAUAACUAGCAGAUUGAACCCAGGGAUGCUGCAGUGCCACAACAAGACCUUCACUAACGAUAACAAGGAUCGAAUCACUGCUAAUAGGGGCAUUGAACCACUACUGACAGGGCUGCUACUCCCUCCUUUCAUUAUGACUACUGCCGAACUCUUUCACCUCGAAACCAAGAAACCGACUACUACUUUGGAGAACAAAACUAAGAACCCAGCCUUGCUUUACUACACCUAAAGCUGCCUUCACUUGCUCGGAGUCUGAUUUCACCCUAGCAACAUUACUCAACUAUAUGACACAGCUAAGCAAAAGACCCAUUCAUCCAACAAGCGACCAAGUCUUACUGAACUCUAUCUUAUUCUUUAGGCGCUGAUCUAGAACCUUACAUUCAUAGGUGUUUUGCUAUUAGCGUAGUUUAAGAGCAGCCCUACCGCCAUGAAUACAGCACUUUACUAUGCUAUUCCUCGCAGUUUUCUACCUUUACUAUUGGUAUCUUUCUAUUCGAUAAAGAGAUGUCAGAAUAAAGGUUUGAUGGAAUUCCACUCGGAAUUAAUAAGUAACGGGCUAGGUUUUUUAAGAAUCGAGAUCGGGGGGAACAGUGAAAGAAAGAGAGUAAGAUAGACGUCUAAGAGAAAGUGCUAGCCUGCAAGCAUUCCUGACGCUAGUAAGCCCUUGCGUGUUCCCGUGCUUCCGUUCCAUAUCUCCUCUGUCCCUUCUUUGAGUUAGCAUUAACAUUUUCCAUUACUCUGUCUUGCAUUAACAUUUUCCAUUACUCUGUCUUGUAGGGCUCUCGGGGCAUUUAUAUGUAGCAAUAAGUUCUGUUCAAUCAAUCUCAUAGGGAACAAAGAAGAACCGCAUAGAAGUAUGGAACCUUCCGGGUUAAGCGAUCGAAAUGACCUAACCUGGCUCCAUCUGGAAGGGCCCUCGGUAAUCUAUGUCGUCUUUGGAACUAAUAACAGAAUGGAAGGGUUCCCCCCGAAAACAACGUUAGACUUGUGCAUGUGUUAAGGAUAUAGCUUAAGUAGAUAGACUCAUUGCUUUUCUCAAUUGAUUUCUUAAGUGAAAAGAGAAAGAAGCAAAUCUCAUCUUUAGUUGUGUUACUUAAACUAGGGCAGCACUGGCCUUCUAUAUCGUCCUUCAUACUAUAAAAAGAUCAGUCUCACUAAUCGGCCUAAGGCUUAUUCAGUCUCACUAAUCGGCCUAAGGCUUCUAGAGACAAUUCCUGGCUCGACAAACUAAAGGCUGUUUCCGUUUUGAGCCUAUUCCAUUUCGAUUCUGAAAUAAAGGUGCUGAAAGCCACUAAGCAAUUCGAACUUCCUGGCUAACACGAAGAAUGGAAGAAGACCCGAAGCGGAUAGUAGAAACUCUUUGUUUGAGUUAAGCAUAAAUAAGUACAGAGGCUACGAGAAAGAUCUUAAGGCGAUCUCGCAUUGCUGCCUCACAACGUUAACAAACUCCAUCCAGGGAUUUCGAAAGAACAGUCCUUUGGCCCAGAAGGAAGACAAAAACGAGACAGAGAAAACGAGGAACCAGAAUGCAUAAAGUAAAUACGGACUCGGGCAUGACCCUCUAUAGAGUUUGAUAUAAGGGAGCAAGCCCCUCUGCAUAAGGAAGGAGAGAGAACCAGACAUGCACAACAAGUGCUAAGCCAAAGAACUAGGACUACACGAGUAGAUCGUAAUCCGAGGCUUAUCGGUUAGAAUGAGUGGAUGCACUCCAUUGGGAUCGUUGUAAUGGCAUCCCUUUGGAUUUAGAUAGUUCAGGUUGAAGUGGAUUUGAUUUAGCUGGUUUCAUUUAUGUACAAAGGAUAUCUGGAAGGAAGAUGGUAAACGGAAGAGCUGGGUCCCAAAGCAAAUGCAUUCCCAUCUGGGCAAUAGCCAAGAAAGAAAGGGCAGGUUCCGUUUUUAGGCAGGGAGUAGCCUGGUCAAUUUAUGGUCCUUUAUCCGACUCCGGUCUAGCAUAAAGAGUGGAAUGAAUCGGGUUUGCUCUCUUCACCUAGAUACUCUAUUAAUAAGGUUAGAAAGAAAACUGGUAAUAUUAAUAAGGUUAGAAAACAGAUAAUAAGGAUAAGGUUAGAAAACUGGUAAUAAGGAGGAAAACUGGUAAUAAGGAGGGUUAUCUCUCAGGAACAUUUAUACUGGGUUAUACUUUGAACGGGCGGGCUGCCUGCCUCAUUUACGUCCCCGUUGGUGACAACGAGGAUAGAAAGCAGAUGGAAAAAGCAUUCCAUUUCCUAAGAAUUUGACAAUGAACAGCCAUCCUAUUUAGAAUUAGACAAACAGACUCUUUCGAAUUAGACAAACAGACUAUACUAUUUCAUAUUUCAUAAACGAUGUCACUUUGAAUCAAUAGAGAACUUCUUUAUUUAGCCGAGUCCUAGGAUGACGGAAAACAAAGUGGAAUCGAGCGCUACUGCUUCAUUGAUUUUGGUUGCUGAGACUAGAUCUUCCAAGUGUUAGUGCCUCAGCCCGCUAUCGCUUCAUCUUUUGAUGUAUCGUAAAUGCCUGAUGUAGAUGGUAUCACUUAUUCUGCCUCGGUCGGGUGCUGCCUUAGGUUGAUGUGAAAGAAUAUCCCUUGCUUCCUACUUAUUUACUAUCUAUCGGAGAGUUGGACCCCUUGGUCUCAGUCUCCUAUAGUGAGUAGGAGUAAAGAGGAGCGAGUUGACGAGCUGGCGGACUCACGUUCAGACUUGAAGAUCCAGCCCGAAAUGCCAAUCUUGAGUUCUCGGUCAAUAGAGCUAAAGCGUGACUUCUCAGGAACGACAAAGUAUCAAAGGGGCAUUCAUCUACUUACCCUCAUUCAUCUACUUUUGAAAUGGACAGAACAAAUCGGAAAAGGCAAGCUUACCGUAUUCCUACUUGACUAGUUGUACUAUUCUGGUUUUGGAACAUACCCUUUCUAACAUAUAACACAAGGUGGAAUCAAAGUAAAGAAACUAUUAGCAAGGAGUGAAGUAAAGGCGUAAAGAAACUAUUAGUUAGGAGUGAAAUAAAGGCGUCGGUUGCCUUCCGCUGACUAUGGAAUCCCCAGAGACUAUAUCCAUCAAUAAAAAACCUACCAUUGAAUCAACAGGUAUGGAAUCAGUAUCAGGCUCUUAGCACCCGAACACAGGACAAAGAAGGAUCUUCCGCAGGAGAAGUUCCAGUUCCAUAAAUUUCUAGUAAAGCGGGAAAGCCUUUCAUUCCUAGCAAAUAAGCCUUUCACUGGUGUUGGCUUAGAAGCGGGAAGUAAAGAAUUGUUGACAGUUGAAAGAUAGGAUAGGAUAGGAUACUGAAGUCGAAGCUGUUGAAAGAGUCGAACCAUAAAUAUGUUAGUAACAAAUGCAUUUCAAACUGUGCCGUUAAGAAAGAAGAAUGAGUUCUCUGACUCCGAGCCUUACUAUUAAGCUUGAAACUAUUGAAUUGACGACCGCCCAAUGCUUGCUUCUAAGACAAGACUGUUUUAAGGAGUGGAAGCGAGAAAGCAAUCAGGGUUGCCCGCCUCGCCUUGUACUAAAAAGAAGGGUUUAGAGCUUGCUUGUAGUUAAGGGCUAUGAAAGAAGGGUUCCUUACUCUACAUAAUAGUGGAUUGUAGGUCAUAACAGUGUCCUUUAUUCGUCACCGGCGGCAGCAAGCAAUAGUAGCAAGUCCUGUCUGUUUUCGUUUCUCUUCUCGAUGCUUUAUCUUCGACUCCGGUAUUGUAUAUUAGUAAUAUAAUAAGUAGCUUGCAGCAGGGCUUGUUUCAAUAAGUAUUUGUUUAGAGAUAUUCCAUUACUGUUUUCCUACUUUCACACUGUUUGUCAGCUUGUCUAGUGGGUGCGGCGUGACUUCUAUAUAAGUAAAGUAUCCACAAGUCUUCUACAUAAGUAAAGUAUCCACAAGUGCUUUGUUCAUGGCUAAAGCAACUGAGUAACCGGUCCGGGUCAAUAAGUUCCAGGUCAAAGUGCCAAUGGAAUCCCUUUCAUAAUCAGUAUCUGUCUUUGCGCCAAUUGCAAAAGGAAGUAGGAAAUAAAGAAGCAUUUGUUGCCAGAGGAGAACACACAUAGGUUUCUUGUCAAGUCUGUAUCUCUUCUCUUCUUUCCAGUCAAUACUAGAGCAUCUAAUCUACCUAUGGCUAUCUAAUCUACCUAUGGCUACACCACUUUAAGGAUCCUAUCCUAGACAACAUUAUACUUAACGAGCAGUUGUUUUGGAGCGACUAGAUCGAGCCUUGUAAGAUAUUCUGCUGUUGGAAUCUUUUUCCCAAAGGCUGUAACAAUAAUACACCUAUACAUGCCAACAUUCUAUCCGAGCCCCUACAAUCUAUCCGAGGAGCAAUACAAUAAAGGGAGCCAUUGAAAGGUGACGAUAUCAUUGCCAGUGAGAGUUUUUAAGUAAAGACCCAGACUUGGUGGCAUCAGGGCUAGCUUCAAUUCCAUACUUGGUGGCAUCAGGGCUAGCUUCAAUUCCAUUAUUUGGAUUAUUUCUUUCCCGAGAAGAAACCGGGUAGUUAAGGUUCUUUUGCAUCCAGCCAAGCAACCACUAACAUUGCUAUCAGCCAAGCAACUCAAAUACAUAAAAAGUAAUAAGGUUGCGAAGCAAAUAACUUAUUUUGUUGUUGUUAUUACAAUUCCUGUGUUCGGCAGACAAGCAGACAAGCCGAUCUAGGCGCUAAAGAAAGUUGGGCUAAACAAGCAGACAAGCGUAUACUAAUGGAUUGAUUAGUUCAACAAAGGGUGCCUCUAUUCAAUACUACUAGUUGGGGCAAUAAUCUCUUUGCUAUCAAAAAACGACUUCCAGCUCGGCUGAGGACCAACUUCGGGAGAGCAGAGAAGACCCAACACGAAAGGUAGCCACUGAUAAUCGAAGCUAUUCAGAUGGGUCCAUUUGAUAGAAGACUCGAGACCCUGUUCCGACUUUAGCUGCUUAAAGAACUUUCAAGGAAAAAAGACGAAUUCAAGGAAAGAAAAACGAUCAUCCCUGAAGCGAGGGACCACUGAAGGAGAGCGAGUGGUGUGUAUAUGACCCGCAUGUAAUUUACCAUUGAAGUAGAUACGCUCAUGUGAGAGAUACCUAGAAGGCUCCACGAUGCGAGAAACAACCACGGGAAUCUUAAGUUAAUCAUAUAUUUGAAUAAAGCCAGAAUCACCCAAGGAAAGAUUACCUUCCAAUAGUAAACCAGCUUCAGAAUCCUGCUCGGGGCGACUGGCCGACUUCAAUCUUAUUAUAUCAUUAUAUAUGUCAGAAGAUAGUCCGGUAGGGAAGAGGCGGAGCUCGCCUUUCAAUUCAUUAUAUUGUAAAGAAAUUGAUUUGGAAUUCCGCCAAUCAACAUCCUUCUGCAGCAAGCGUCUAUGGAUGCAACCCCAGAGGGUAGGGUGGAAAUCAACCGAUCCGCUCUAAGGUGGGGGAUGCGGCUCUUGAAACGCAAACGCAUGAUUCUUUCAUUGAAAGGUCCUUGCUCACGUAAACUACGGACAGGUGAGUUGGUUAUCAUUAUUACAGGGACGUUAUUCUUCUUAGUCAACUUUAGCCCAUACUUACUGUCCAACCGACACUGUUGCCCAUCGAGGACUCGAAGGAGGGUGUUAUUCGAAGAAGCCAGUAGCGCCUGACCAGCAGCAGAGAGAUAGCUAAAAAAGCGAUCAUAUAAACAGCUCUCUCGCUCUUUGACUUGGCGGAGGUCUUCGUAGAUAGAUUGGAGGUUAUUAUGCGAUGUAAACACUCGUUUGAUGAGGUCAGCAUCGGUAUAGAUCUGCUCCCAUGAGUCGAGGCUUUUUAGCUUCUCAAUGAGGUGCUGAUGUUGAGUAGGCAUCUUCUUAUGCUGUUGAUGAGCCUUUAGGGAUUCAUUCAGGGUAGAAAGAGUAUGGUGGCCCCACGUAUAAGGGCAGCGGUUGCUCUACCUCAUAACUCUCAAACACUGGAGUAGUACUGGCCGAGUAGACAGAAGAAGGAACAAAGACAGGACAAAGAAUUCAUUACUACCCUGAUUUACCGACAAGGCCUUAGCAACUAGGCUUCUUAACCGCGCCUGUAUAGGUAUUUCUACUUAGCUACAUUGCCUGAGCUACUAAUAAGCAUCUAGUUAUAGACUUAGCAACAUGGCUUCCAAGACUAUAUACUUAGCUACUCCACUCAAUAUUCAUAUAACUCCUUAGCAAAAGGCCCCUAUAGGCUUCAAAUGCAAUUGAAAGCGAAUUCCUAGGUGGAACACUAGACUCGUUAUAUAAGUAAGGGUUAGUGGUGACUUGCCCGACCUCUGUUUCUCGCCCUCUUGCCUCUGCCCUUAUAAUUAAUGGUAGACGCUAUUCGCCCAGCUUCUGUAUCAAAUACAUAACUCUUUAACUCCGAUGUCUAUUACAUCCCCUGGUAGCUAGGUAAACGAAUUCCUCUUUCUUACUCUGGCUCCUAAGUCUUCCAAUUCCAUUCUGAAGGAGUUAACCUAAUUAAUAGCUAAAGUCAAAGCCAAGGCGCGGUAGCGAGCUAUAGAAGCGGCAGGAGCUUUAUUCGUUUUUGCCCCUACAGAGAGGGACAUCCCUUACUUUGACCUUAAGAAUGGAAUGGAAUGGAAACUGAUUAACCAAGAACUGAAAGAGACUCCGCUCAAGCAUCCGAUCUAUUAACCAAGAACUGAAGGAGACUCCGCUCAAGCAUCCGAUCUAUUAACUCUGGCUCGUGGACCUAUGGCUACCAAUAAUGAAUUGAACUCGGCCCUUACUUAUAUUACUGUCUGCGAGUUGAUAGUGGAUUUCUUUGUCUAGGAAGCAGGCAAGAGAGACCGGCAUACGACCAAGCAAGUACGAUUUGCCAUCAAACUCAAGAAGAAAACCGGCAUCCAAGGUAAGAAACUGAGGAAUUAACCAUAGCUGAUCUAGCCCUAAGAAUUGACCCACUACUGAGAACACUGCCAAUAAGCCUGCUCCCUACUGCCUCCUAAUUUCGUUCCUUAGUUCAUGGCGGUAGCGAGUUCAACUUUGCUUUAAACCUAAGACUCAAGUUUCUCCUUCUUUAGCUCAACUAAUCUUUAUUACUUUACUGCUUAUCUGCCUAUAAUUUCUCUAUUACAUUACCAACAAUUCUAUUACUCGAUUACUUAUACUCAAAAUAAAGACUUGCUUCACUGCGCCUAAAGCAGCCUUUCCUUAAACAAAUCCUAUGUUCGCCUACGAGACCAACACUCCUUGAUCUAAAUCUGACUUCGCCGGCUAUUAACUUGUCCUUCUCCCCGAGACCUACUACCCAAACGGAUAAUACCAACUAGCAAACUAAAGACAGGAAUAUGGAAUCCAACUCGUGCCUACAAGAAUAGAAACUGCGCCUCUAAUACUUUCUCCUAUAAUAAGGAACAGAAACCCAGGCUAACAAUAAUGGAACUAGAGACGGGUGAUCUAACAAGUCACUCUAGUUCUCUCGGGUAGGAACGUAAGAGCACUGGGUUAGUGACUCACAAGUAAGAAUGCCCGUACAGGGUCAAAGACUCAACAAAGUAAUUAGUCCGGGUGAGUUGAGCCUGUAGUUUUAGAGUUGCAUCCCCAACUAGUAGCAGAGUAGUUGCAUCUGUCUUUGUUUACAGAGGAGUGGUAUAGUAGCCGAAUUCAGCAAGUCAUAACUCUGUUAAUAGGAGCCGAGCCCCGGUCACUAAUGAGUUAAAAGAGCCAGAGCCAUAGGUAUAAGGAUAUCUGAGUUUAGGUAAGUCCAGUAGUAGUAGCAAAGUAGACUUGUCUGCUUGUCCCCUUGACACAGUACAGACACAGUAGAAGAACAUUCCAACUCUCAAGUAGGAAAGGCAGAAUUCCAUUAGUAUGUAGAAGAAUGGAACUCAGUCCACAAAGAAUAAAACAGGAGCAGAGCCAGUAGUUGUAGUCCCGGGUUCUUAGCCUUUGUAGUAACAGUUGCCCAGUUCUUGCCUUUGUUUGUAGUAGUGGCUUGGUCAUUAGCAGUUCCUUGGUGGACUUGGUUAUAAGCAUAAGUAUGGGAGAUGAGCCUCAUUCAGUUACAUAGUUGCUUGUUUACUUUUGUGUUUACUUGUUUGUUUGUUCCAUUGCUUGUUCUAUAUAAUAGCAUCUAUAUAAUAGCAUCUAGUUCCAUUGCUUGUUCUCUAUAAUAGCAUCUAAUAGAUGAACAUAACAUCCUACUGCUUACAGCAAAGACUAUCCUUUCAGUUAACCUAACAGCGCUGAAGAAGUAAGGCCAUUUCUCGAAGUAAGGCUUGAACGCCCGGCAAGCAGACAAGUAACUAGAAGUCAACAAAUACAGAAUUCCAUUUCCAAGUCAAGCUCUAUUUAACUCCCUUAGUUCAUGAGACAGCAAAAUGUUGUAAAUAGCGGCCUUUUAGGAAGGCACUUGGAUUGGCACUAAUCAGGUUCGGAAGCACAAGUUGUAGCCGACUAGUAAGCAUAUUUUGCCAUUUCUUUUGUAAACAGUGUUGCCGCAGCACCUGAACAUAUCGAAGUAAGAAGUCACUUCAGUAAUGAAUCUCCUUCAGCAGGAAAUAAGGAUGGGAGAUAGGUUACUAAGAAAGGAAACCAAUUCACAAGUUGACCUUUGAAGCAGGGGGACCGAGUGACAGACUUGGCUUUUCCAGAAUACACUACAAAUAUGGUUGAGCAUAAGGCGUUUUCAUCAAGGUAGGGUUAGGGUAGACCCAGGGUCCGUUUAGAAGCGAUACAGAGAGAAAGAACCAUAGCCAGAAGUCUCGAAGGGUACAGGGCAAAGUCAGAAAUCCACCUAUGAAACUAAUCCACUUGCCUUAUAAUUAAUUUGAUCCUAACAUCUUUAUGGUCGAAAGGAAAGAUGCUAUUGGGUAUCCUCCAACUUCCAUAGACGAAACACACUUAGAUAAAGCUUCUCUUGAUCACACACAUCUUGGUUUAGACUUAUACUGGGCGAACCUAUCUCUACAACAACACAGUCAACCGUACUCUACCUGCUUGCUACAGGCAAUUCAACCGCGACACGAUAACCUCUCUCCCACUUAGUAAAACCAAUCACCGAGACUUAACUCGCAACCCGCAGGCGCUUAAGAAUCCAGUCCCAGAAUUGAGCUAGAUCCGAUCAGACUUAACCCAGUGCCCCUAAGAACCAAACCAGCAACAACCAGGCUGAAACACCCAGCUACAAGACUCAAACUAGGGCUACUCAGGCCUCAACUCAGUAGUGACAGGCUCUCCGGCAGGGUAUCGAUUCCAAGUACUGAUAGAGAGUUACAGGCUAAGACAACAGCUACUCGGACUUAAACCGGCGCUAGCAAGCCUUAUACUGGUGCCACUUAGAAUCAAACUCGGUAGUUUCAGAAUGAAGUCAAGAAUCCAAACUAAGUAGUGACAGGCUUCAACCCAAAAGUGACAGGCUAUCUUCGACCCCCCGAGUCACGGAAUUGAACUAAGCAGGUUAACUCGCUACCUACUGGCAAAGAAUUCCAGUACUACUGAUUCUAACUGAUGAAACUACGAGCCAUCAAUUGCCAAGUCCAGUGUUCGCCUUUCCUACUUGCCUACUUCCACUCAUGAACGGAUUCAACUCGUUCGUCCACUCUACUCUAACAAGACCAGGAGCUGGAUACUUGCUUUAAGGCUUAGACAAACUCCUUAAGCUAGUCAAUUGAAUGAAACAAGUAAGUCCACCACCCUACCUGGCGUACCACACCACACUGGUUAAGAUCGUUUGCCAACUCCUAUAUAGGAUGAAACAAUAGAAGCCGGUAACUACCCCAGUGCUCCUUCCUUAAUGAAUGCCUACUAUAGCUCAUCUCAUAUCACACGCUUACCGAACAUCCAGCCCACUACUACCAACAACUACAAAGGCACAGAACUGAGCCCUCUCGUAGACAACAAAGACAGCCAGAUGCCCUUUCCAAAUAGAUCUUGCUUCUAAGCAGCUCAUCUCGCAAACAGGGAAUCCAUCUCUACCUUACCCGGACAGCUAUGUAUAAGAAAUCAAUAUCAAUUCAUUCUCUCUUUAGAAAGGAUAGAGGCCAAGCAACCUUUCUUUCCUUCCCUAUACACCCCUUUAGCCAACAAAGACAGAUGAUACUUCCACUCGGUAUCGGUAUUCCACAACAACAAAGAACAGGCAAUUCUAUACUAUACGGGGCUGUAAACAUAGUCAACAAUUCUGCAUUUCAUCUUUCUUGCGCUGAAGGAACUGCACCCGCACUGCUAACUGAAUGAGAACUCCCCUUCAACUAAUUCUUCUUGAUUACCUCUACUCCCAGGUAUUCCAAUAAUAAUAACUGACCUAGCUCACACCUAGCUUCAAAGCAAGUACUUUAUUCAUUUACAACCUUAACUCUCACUGAGUCGGAUUCUGCUCUUGAUACUAAGGAAUUGGAACUGGCAAUACUUAACGCCUCAGUAAACUCUUCAAAUACAGAUCUUGUAACUGCUCUUGCAACUGAACAAGCUACCACUAGACAAGACACUAGGCAAGUAGAACAAAAGUGCUAUACUAUUUCUCUAUUUGCUAUGAGCCAAGUCACUCACUACACCGGCUAUCUAUCCUGAGUUGUUGAAUGAUUUGUUUACAAGGCUAACAGGGAAGUCGAAGAAUUAAGAUCCACUGCUGAGGCUGCAGGCGCAAGUGAAAGAUUCAAUUAGACUGUUUCUGGUCAGGGAAGGGGCCAAUCAACAUAGUUAGUUGCGCUAAGGAGCUUCGGACUUGAGAGGUUGCCAGCCAGAUCAGAGCACUUCUUGUUGGCAAAGGUGAACCUGCUACUUAAGAAGCGGUUGAAAGAUCUGACUACUUAGUUUCAAGAGAAAGAGAGGGAUGAGAUCGAGGUCUUAGAUAGAAGCUCUCCGCCGGUAAAGAAAGUCUCAAGGUGUUCUAAACUCUAUUCAAUGAUUUGAUUCACUUAAAAAGAGAGCUUUAAAGGAGAGUGAGUUUCGGGUGUGAGUGAAAAGUGGACAGUUCCGGUUUCAUCAGUAUUUGUAGCAAUAGAUAUGAGAGGCACUAGCUCCAUUAUUACUGCUUAUCCCUUUGCUUUAGAAGCACUAGUCAAAACAAGGUCCGAGAAGCACUGGUUUCAUUCUGACUUGAACUACUGAGUUGCCGGCUCACUGGUAUUAUUACUUAAGAGAACAGAACAGAUAGAGCUAAUUGAACUUACAAAUCGAAACUCCCUUCUUCAAUUUAUGUACUUAGAGUCGAGGCCCUUAUAGUCAGUUGUGGAAGUCAAACAAAUCAUUGAACCCUGCUGGGCUUGUGGAAAGAAGUGACUAGGGGUCGGGUGCUAGUGUAUAGGGAAGGAAAGAAAGAAAGUGAAGUUCGAGUUCAAGCAGAAGCUAGAUCUAUAAAGCAAUCGGGUCUUCAUCAAAUACUGGUUAUUGUGAGCUACAGUAGUUCAUAAGAAUGCAACCACUACCCCUAGUAUAGGAAUGAAAACAAGCCUACCCCAGCUACUUGACUAGAGCGUAAGCACCAAGCCCACCCCGUCAAGUCAGUAAACAAAGUGAGUCAACUAAGUCAGUAAACAAGCUUACCCCACAAAGUCAGUAAUCACCCAGUAAGUAAACAAGCCCUACCUGAACUACUUGUUUAAGGGUCGAGAGAGAGGGCUUGCUCACAUAUUCCUGUUGCAAAUACAGUUCUCAGAUCUUAAGCGUGAAGUAGAGAAUUGUAGCCAGAGUUCAAUGAAACAAAAAAGGCUGUAGAAUGGAAUUAAUUGACAGAGUUAGAUUGAUUAGAUGAGAGCCAUAGUUUAUGAGAUGAGCCAGAGGAUAGGUCAGCAAGGGAAGCAGUUAGAAUAGAAGUAGGUGUUACCAAAGUGAGAAUUGGACUAGUAAGUAGAAGCCUUAAAGCACCGAGUAGCAGAGUAGCUAAGAGUACAAGAGGUAUACAAUAGUUAGUAAAGAGCCAGAGGUACAGUAAAGAAGUUAGUGCUUCAGAAGCGGGAAGUUUAGUUCCAUUGUCUAGGAAAAGUAGUACAACAUUGUCUAGGUUCGUAGCUAGGGUUGAUCCAGAAGGAGCACGUACUGGUAGUCCUGUUCUUGUUCUAGUUUCAUCCCUGGUGAAAGCCUAUGUUCCAGUUGUUGUUAGAGUUUCAUCCCAAAUAAGUAUACGAGUAGUCCGGAGUGAAUCUAAUUAAUAGCCAAAGUUCGCUUAUUUGUUUUCUCCCUAGUUGAAUCCCGAAUUGCAUCCGUUCACCUAUAUAAGGUAGAAGAGUCAGAGCAGAGGUAUAGGAGCCGAGCUGGGAGUGAUAGUGAAAAGCCAGUAGUUUAUGAGUUGAAUACCGAAUGUCAUCCAAGGCCUAUCCUAUCCCGUUGCAAGCAAGGUAAGAAAAAGAAUCAUGAGCUAUGUAUUAUAAGAUAUAAGUAAAGUAACCAACCCCGAACACAGGACUUGGUAAGCUAUCACUGGAAACACCGGAGUCAGAAUGUCCCUAAGGAGUCCAAACCUGAAAGCAAGGGUAGCGAGUAUGGGUUUGUAGCUGCUCAGACUUAAACCAACGAAUCCAAGCCCGAUACCAGUGCUGCCUGCUGCUAGGUAUUACUAGUAUGUAUGGGACUUAUGCGGUGUCUCCUCAGAUUGAAGCUAGGAGUCAAAGCCUUCAACCAGUAACGACUGGAGUCUAGUAGGACAGAAUUGAACUAAGGAGUCCAAGCAUGGAUAAGCCCCCACCAGAGUCAGAAUGGAACUAAGCCUAGAACUAAGCCCUGGUAUUAAUUCCUUCCCCUGAAGUCUAGGACUAUAAGUUGCUUGUACCAGAAACUCCCUGCCUGUUGCUUGCCCGGGUAGCAAGUAGUAGAGUAGUUAAGAGCCAGAGUUUAGGCUUUUAAGCUAUAAGUCAAGAAGUGAAGUCAAAGUGUCUUUCCGGAAGUCACCAAACCACGGGUCAAGGUGCCAGAAAAGGGCCAAGCUUAGUUUUGAGUUGCGCUAAGAAGCCCUACUUUUCUUUAAGUAAUAGGAUAGGACCAUAAUAAAGAACUUGCUAGCGCAUCUAGUAGAAGACACAGAAUUGAACUACACCACGAGGGUAGUCCUGUCUUUAAUGAAAGUUAAUAGGAGCCAGAGUAGAGGUAGCAAGAGUCAGAGGUGAGCUAGUGAGGCCUAGGGUACUGGUAAAGAAUUGCACUCAGUGGUAAUGAAACCGUUUUGGGAGCAGCUCUGAGCUUUCAGAAUGGAACUUGUGAGUUAAGGAAUGAAAGUAGUCAAUCAAAGAAUUGAACCAUGUAGUUACAGAAUGGAACGAGCGAGUCCCGUUUAAGUUGACUUACUUUGCGGGUAGUUGUGGAAUUCCUAUACAUGGCUAGGGUUCUUGUGUGAAGCAAUGAGUAAAUCUAUCUCCCUUUGAGGCUUGCCUGAUAUCCACUAGUAUAGGCUCUUCUAGUUAGUUAGUGACUUGCCAAGACUUAUUAUUAUGGGUUUGCACUUACUAUAAAGGUCAUUGUGACUUACUAUAAAGGGUUGCUUGGUGGCUUUCACACCAGAUAGAGAGUUACUUGGCCCAUAGUGGAAUCUUCUCUUCUCUUAACAAGUAGUAGUCUUGUUUAAUCAGUAUUAGUUGCCCUUAGAGUAAGCCCUUCUUGUUAGUUGUUUACAAGUAGGAGAAGAGGCUGGUUUGAGUCUUAAGUGGCCAAGUAGGAGAAGAGGAAAGAGAUAGAUCCGGUUAGGAAGCCAAAGAAUAAGGAUCUCAAGUCUUGUGUGAAACAGCUUCCCUAAACUUAUUAUAUAGAGGCCUCAACUCUCAAGCCCUUUAUUAAUUAGUUCUUCCUGCGCGCAACUCUCAACUAGAACCACAACUUCUUUUGUUUGAUGGCAUGAUGGCAAAUGCCCUAUGAAGAGAGGAAAACCUGCUUGAAAUUGCUUUGCUUUUUGCCUAUAAACACAGGGCAGGGCAUAGUAUAGAGUCUGCUUGUUAGCUCCUCUUCUCUCAAGUAGUGAAGUUAGAAUUCAACCAUAAAGUAUAUGACUAAGAGAACUAAGUAGUAAAGUUGGUAAGUCCACUCAAUUCUUCAAGGGAAGAGAACGCUAAAGAGAACUCGGCUAGGUUGGAAGGCAAGAUAAGAGAUAGGUAAUGUAGCUAACGAGCGUAUUGCUUAUAUAGAGUAGUUUCAUAAGUAGUAUAGUAGUCAAGAGCAAUAACUGUAUUAGUUGACCCAGGAUAAUAGGUAUGCAAGGGAGACAAUAAGUACUGAAGUAAGGACUUUGCUAUCAAAAAAGACGGGAAAACGCAAAGAUCUAAUUCCAAAUGGGCUUGCUAUUAGGGAAAACUUGGUUGCAACCAAAAAACCCGGGAAAACGCAAAAUGAUCAUUUCAAUCGAACCCUUUAGGAGGGAAAAUGACUUGGCUACCGACAAGCAGCGGCACACGACGCUGCGCGUCAGCAACAACAUAGAUGUGUUAUAAGCAGUUAUGACCAAGUCCUGUGUUCGUAACCGAGAAAACGUGAAAAUCGAAUUCCAUCUUGGUUCGUUAGGAGGGAAAUUGACUUGGCUAUCAGGCAAGUAACUACUAAUGUUACGCGCCAGCGCUGUUUCCCGAGAAAACGCAAGAUGAUUGCCCCAACUAGUAGCAGAGUAGUUUCCUCAGUAGUUGUAGCAAGAGCUGAGCCUGUGGCAAGUGGGAGAGAAGACAUAUAUUGUAAUAACUUAGUUAUAACUAUUUAUUUACUGCCGCUACACAUUAGUAGUUACUUGGCCGGUAUUCUACUCGCCCAGCAGCAGGCAACUAUAUUUACUAAUGCAUAUGUCUUCGUGAGCCGAAUGAAGCAAGAAGGAAGCUGUGUAAACCACUCACUACUAAUAAGAAUGUAAACUUUUAGUAGAGCUAUACUAAUGACUUGUUUCAUUCAAUUGACUAGCGGCAGGAGCUCAAUAGGGGCAAGGUGGUCAGCAGGAAGUGGUGAUGUUCUCAAGUGCUCUUAAGUAAUUGGCGAGUGCCCUUGCUAGUGGAGUCUGGAGUGAAAGGAAGCUGUAUAAGUAAGGGCCGAACUCAAGUAUUAAUGGAAUUCAUAUGACAACUCUUCUGCAUUCCAGUAUACAAGUUUCGUUUAAGUUGAAAGAAAAGGUGAGGAAGCAGUGUGAGGAAGGUAGAUGAGAGAAUAAUUACCUGUUAAACUAGAUGUGGCUUAUUCCCCUUCCACUCCAAUCCAAAGAAUAAUUACCUGUUAAACUAGAUGUGGCUUAUUCCCCUUCCACUCCAAUCAAAUAAGUGUUAGCGGUGCGAGUACCGUUUAUAGUGCUGUCGGUUCUUCAAGUUUCAACUGAGCAAUUAUAUCUUCUUCUUGUUCAGGUGUUUAAGCGAGAGUUCCGUGUAAGGAUGCAGGCUCAGAAACAAGUAAUACUGUUUUGGGUGCGAGUCAAGUAAACUAUACUCUACUUAUACUCGGUAUCCACUAUACUAUACGGAAACUACAGCUAAUUAAACAAAAACGACUUACUUGUUCAAUUCGGGAAUAAUUCCGUUUGGGCGAGGAAAGCCUAGUUCGUCAAUUGUUCUAGUUAGGCUAUUUUAGGCUAUUACUAUAUUUAUUCUGACUCCAUUCUAUCUUAUGCGUGCGCCCUCUGAAAGCAACAAAUAAUGACAUUUAAAGCGGGUUUGCUCUUAAGCUCCCAGCAGGACAAUAAAGAUAAUCAUUAGCCGAAGGGGAGCUGCUCCUAGGCAAUUCCAUUCUGACUUGCUUCAUUCUUUUCCUAGGGGGGUGUAAUAGACAUCUACCGGUAAAUAAGAUGUAUUCUUCUGAGAGUCCUGAAUAAACCUCCCUCUCGGCAAUCCAGUAAAGUAGUACAAUACCUCUCCUCCUUUCCCGAAGUGUUACCUCAUUCUAUCGGAUCUCACUCAUUCCUCAGUGCAAGGAAAGCCGACAAGAGAAUCUACUGUGCCAGGAAAGUCAACUUGUUCUAGUUCUGUUGGCAACAAUCGGUUCUUCAAAUGAGAGUCACGUUCUAGUUGUUGGCUUAGAGUCCCUUUCCGUUCUUGUGUUUGAUGAGCUUUCCCCGUAGAGCUCAGUUCUUGGCUUUACGUCUAAGUCUGGGUUCGGUGCCCAAGAAGAGGAUAGGCUUAAGUGCUUGUGUUAAUCAAUGAGUCAAUUAAGUCUUGUGGUUAAGUCUUAAGUAGUAGCUUGGCCCGCAAUUGGUAGUUAAAUCACCAGUAAGAGUAAAGUUUACCAGAGCAUCUGCUGUUCUAAAGUAGGGUAUCUGAAGUUGACUCCUUAAAAAGGAAAGUAGUAAUUGGAGAAUGAAACCACCAAUAUAGGAGCAAGAGGCUCAAUUAGGACUACCAAAGAAAGGUGAACUCUGGACCAAGUCUUGUGUUGCGGUGUGAAAGACUAGGCUAGUAGUUGGCGAAUUCAGUUCAUUGUUGCCAGGAGGUAUUCAAUAAUCAAGUAAGGGUACCGUACCGGGGGCUAUAAGGAUACGUCGGAUAGUCCACUCAGAAUCAAAACAUCAACUGGGAAUACAAACACUAACUAAUGGAUUACACUACUUCUUCUAAGCUUUACUCUCGUAACUCAGGCUUCACUUACCUCUAAUCAGAAUUGGACUAGUGCUUCCACUUCUAAUAAGGAAUUCGACUCAAAAUAUGGAGCUAUAAGACAGACAUUUAGUAUAGAGCUAUCAUCCAUCAUGUAAUGUACUAAGAAUACUCAGAAGGAUACUCAGAAUAGGCUCAUCAAAGAGGAGGUAAGAUAUAGUGCAGGAGAGUAGGUAUGAUCUAGGGCAGUAGAAAGACUUAUGAGAAGAAUCGGUAAGAGGCUAAUAGGCUGGCUAAGAAUACUAAGAAUAGGGUUGAGCCGAAAGAAUAAGACUAGGAAAUUCCAGUAAGAAACCCACUUUCAAGUACGGAUGCUAGCACCAAUGGACUAAGACUCAUAAUAGAAAUACAUAAUUCAAUAAGUAAGUCAAGAAAGGGGCACGUCUCUCAGGGGAUUAAAAGAACCAAGAUGUUAGAUCCAGAGUGUUAGUUUGAAGCAGGUCCCUAAGGAAUUGUACUUAGUAGUCGCUUUCCAUUGUGAGUUUUGAGUAACCUCUAUCGUUAGGGAACCUCCUCAUCAGUAAAAGAAUGAAUCCUGCAAUAAAGAAUAGCAGUGGUCGAGGUUUGAGAUGGGAAAUAAGGCUUAUAACGGGGUUAGUAAUGGAAUAAGAGUCCCAAUUAGGGUGAUAGCAGCGUCCAGGCGGGCCCUAAACCAUAGCAAUGAAAACAGUCCCUAGAAACUUUCCUAGCACUGGUCCCUUCUACUUUACCUAGAACUGAAAUAGGGAGUUACUUCACACUUUAGGAAUUGAGAAACACUGGUGAGAAACAACGUAUAAGAAACCACGUCUCAACUUAUAUAGGAUUAUGUUUCAAAUAAGUUAGAAGCGGGAGGGAAGGUAGAAAACACGGAAUACUCGCUGGUACUCUCUAGCAAAUGAAGUAAUAGAUGUUGGUUACCACAUGAAGUAAUAGAUGAACGUAUGAGAAGUAAUAGAUGAACGUAUGAAGUCAACCACCCUGAAGCCUAUCUAGAGCUAGAGGCAGUGCUUAAUAAUAGGGCAGAAGGAGAGGCCUGGGAUACAAUAAGGCUUAACUCACUUAUUAAUGGUCAUUUCCAGAGUUCACCAGUGCCCUUAAUUCAUUUCGGUAAGUCAACUAGUUCAAUUAGUUCAGGGAAGGAACCAUAAAACGUAAGAUCUCAAGUAAGGUUAAGGCUUGGCGGUUGGUUACCUCAUUCUAUAAUACAUAGCUAAUUCUUCUGUGUGCCUAUCCUCUGGCUCUUUGAACUCUUUCUCGAAGGAACCUAGAAGUGACUCGCCCUCAAAGCGUUGUUCUCAAAUCAUCUAUCUUGCUUGCUGCACCACUCACUUUGCUAACAAGCCACCACAGCACCGAGGAGAAAACAAACAAACUGGACUCUAAUCUACCUCUGGCUCCGUCCAAUAGCUGCCCUUUGGCAUUCUUUCGAUCGUACUAAUGAUCUGGAUCUCUGGCUUCACUUAAGCACUUGUUAUUGCCCGCUUGCCCACGAACCCACCUCUCUGCGAAAGUCACUUUGGAUAUCCCUUGCCAAUGCCUAUCAUGCCCCACUCAUGAACUUCCCGCUUCCCUUGUUGUUGCUGAUAGUGAUCUACUUAUGGAAUCGGUUAUCCGAUAAUAUAAUAUAAAUGGAAGAGCUACUGAAUUGAGUAUAGAUCAGAGCUAAACAGCGAACACAGGACAGAGAUUCCUACUACUCUGGAUAGAGACUAUUCUGCUUUAACCGAAGAGUUGGGGCAAUCGACUAUUGACACUCGGGGACAAGCAACUUACCAGCUAGAAUCCCCUUCAUGAGUAGUUUCAUCACUAGUUCCAGUUCUCAAGUGGCGGAAAGGGAGUUGGGCCCUAAUACUACAUUGCUAGUGCCUUCCCUUACUGAGUGGAUGUUAGCUAACACUAAGAAUGAAGUAAGCAGGUACGAUGUAGUGCAUCUGGUAUUAGAUAAGCUAAGGGCCUAAUACUACAUUGCCAUCGCAUGACCUGAAAUAUAGUAUGGAUAUGACCAGAAAUGUUGUAUAUGACCUGAAAUGUUGAUUCUAGGAGAGAGGCCUUCCAAUUCCAUUCUGAAGUGGGAGCUUGGCCGUUCCGUUUGAGUGGAAUCAGUUUCUCGAGGAGGAGCCACCAACCAAACCUUAGCAACGUAGCCGAAAAGAACCACUGUCAUUCUAUUCUAUAAGUGAACUAGUUAGUUCAUCCCAAGAUGCAGCAGUUAUUCUUUAGAAAGAUAGAAUCAAUUUCUAUUGAUUUCCGCUACAGUGUCGGUACUGAGUCAAGGGAAGUUUAGGGUGCCCCAGGUAGCUAGGUGUUCUUGUUUUGGAGUUAGGUUUUUUCCAGAAGUAUCAGCUGCCCAAGUCCUGGGUUCAGCGGUAAGUAAACUAUUCCUGGGUUCAGCGGUAAGUAAACUAUUCCUGUCACCCGAAACAACCAAUAAGGUCCUAUAGUGUUAAUGCCUACCUCCUAAACUGGUUCUCUGGCCUACCUCGACUGUGACUACUGACGUUCAAUUCGCACUUUCACUACUGACUACCAGAUUGAAGCCUGAGCCCAGUAAGAUAGAAUCCAUUCCUUUUCUCUGUUUGCUUGUACCCGCUAAGAGAGAUAUAGAAUCACU